rnacentral:lncRNA from 1 species
UUUAUUUCUAUCGCUCGGGUUAUCAUAAUAGAGUAUCUAAAUUUGUAACAUUAUAUGUAGUAUGUAGUCUUUGGGCUACGCCCAUUUUCGUCAGCGGUCAGGGUGCUUGGGUCAUACCAGUCUUAAUCCGAUUUUUUAAUAUAAAUUGAAAUGAUGCAUUCUGACUUAAACCCCAUAAUACAACCAAAAAAAACAUACAACCUUUUCUCAGCCAUAAUUUUUUCGACACGUAAACAUUCUUCAAAUUCUCAUCAUAUAUACUUUCACCAUAACAUUUCCUGCAAAUAGUUCAGGCUACUUCUAAAUUCUAAUACUCAAAGGAAAUCCAGAAUCCACCCUCCUAAUUAUGUGCCAAAGGGAAGUGCAAUAGUUGAAUGGUGGAGUGGAGCUUUCACAGUUAAUUUCAAGGUAUGAAAAAGGAUAAGAUUGUACUAUUUUGGCCAUUUGCUUAGCACAUGCCAAGAGCCCGUGACUGCCAUUUAUCCCCAAUUUUAACACAAAAUUGAGAGUUUAUUUUAUUAAAUUACAAAAUCAUCAUGUGUUUCGAAUAAGGAUGUGUGCACAUCCAAGCAUGUUAGGGUUUUGUUUUAGUUGGUAGUCUUAGUCUUUUGUUUUGUAUUAAUUUCAAUUUGUUGCUUCCUAUAUUUGGAAUUUUUUCGAGUUCCAUGUUCCCUUGUCAUGAUCUUUAUUAUGAAUAGAAAAGAUUGAGGUCUUUCUGCAAAAGUAUAGACCCGCGACUCAUACAGCUCCGAUUGAGAUCUUCUUAUUAAGCAUUUUGUAUGUUUCUCGAUUCAUAUAUAUGAGAAUUACUUCUCGAUUCAUAUUUAUGAGAAUUACGAUGAGGGUUUCUUUUAAAAAAACAUUUAAUAUAUGAAUAAUUUAAAAAUUAAUUAUGUGCUCGCUUUCCAUGUCAAUAAUAUACCGACAUUAUUGAUAAAAAAUAAUAAUUAUGUGGUCUCCUAGACAUCCAUAAAACACAUUAUUAGAUUACAAAAAGUUAUUAUAUUAUUGAUGAAGUAGAUGGGUUAAAAAAAACCCCAACAAAUUUUCUCAAUAAUUUUACUUCCUAAUCAUUCAAUUUUUAAACCUACUCCCAUCCUUAUGAAUACAUUCACUUCUAUUUUGGGGAUAACACAGUCACUCCCACUAAUCAAAGAAAUAGAUACAAGAGCUUUUAUUGACAAAAUAUGAAAUCCCACCAGCUAGCUAGCUACCCACAUUAAUAAUUAUAUUGAUUGGCUCAUAUGAUUUUAAUAAAUACAACAUAAAAUCUAUUAGAAAACUUUCCCAACGACUCGAGUUAUUGACAUACAAUGGUUCUUAAAAGAUUAAGAGGUUUCCAUUUCGAAUUUCCCCCAUUCCGUAACUUACCUUGUGAAGCUGAACGUGCAAAUUAACUCUUUUGAGAGCUUCUGUUUAAAGGGUAAUGCUAAUAAAUAUUAUUAAACUUAUCAAAACCAUUUCCCAAUAACUAUUGAGAUGUAACAGUUCUUAACAACCUGAAUCCUCUGACAUGGAUCGAACCUGCGUUACCGAACGUGUGGUUACAUUUUGUUUUUACCUUUUUAACUGUCGGGGCAUGUGAUUCAACUCCAUGAUCAUUUGUUGAACUCUUUGGCCUAAUCAUUCACAUGAAACCUUGUUUGGCCUACUUAAUUAAUAAGAUGGUGUCCUGCUCGUGUUUCUGCAUGAUUACGUUAAAGACAAGAACAUGCAUUCUGUGCUUGCAUCCCGAUAUAUAUGAGGAUUUUGGAUACGUGAUUCAUAUUGUUUUGGAUGAGUACACGUGUUUUUUCACUCAUUUUUUCGUCGAGACAAACAUAUAUUUUGUGCGCGUGUUAUCUGUACCGUGUAUAUCGAUAAUCAAUUUUAUUUUAACCAUUUAUUUGUUGAUAACAUGUAUAUUAUUACCACACGAAUAUAUACAUGUAUUAUGGGUACCAAAGCGUUUUCCAAACAUACAUAUAUCCCUCAAAAAAUAACUUAUCGAAUUUUUAGGUUAUAUUUCUUCUUUUAAAAUAUCAUUAUGUACAAGUAGAGGUGUGAAGUAUAUAAAUUGAAGCAUAAGCAUUAUAUCGGAAUUCUUAGUUAACUUUUAUAAAAGAUAAAAUUAUGAUUAGAUUUUUUGUAUUUAGAAUAGUUAUUAUUUUAUUUUAUGUAGUUAUGAAGUAUGAAAUGGUAAAAUAUUUGAGUAAAGUAAUAUGAGAAUGGUUCACUAAUAUUGAUUUAUAAAGCUGAAGUUCCAAUAAAUGUUUGUUUAAUUAUUACCGUUUUCCUGUGUCAAACGUCUGGCCUAUUAGCUCAGCUGGUUAGAGCGUCAUGCUAAUAACGCGAAGGUCACAGGUUCGAGACCUGUAUGGGCCAUUUUUAGCAUCUCUUUUUCAUCUUCACCAAGAUCACAAGUUGGAGCUCUGCAUCUGCAUGCGCCGUUCCUUUUUAAUCAGUCUUCACUCUGCAGAUUAAUUACCCUUCUCAAACAAGGAUUACUGAGCUUUUCUGCUUUCCGACCAACCAAUGAAAGAUCUCGAUCGUGAUUCUUAAGCUUACAGUCUCAUCCCACCCAUUGAAACACCCACAAUUAGAUUAAGGUACACCACUCUAUGCAAUGAACCAAUGAUGUAAUGCUCGUUUUAUUCCUGCGCUGCUGCUGCUGUUUCUUAAUUUGUUUUUGCAGUGUUUGGGAAGUGCAUACCACCCGGAUCCCGUCCUUAAUACCACCUUUUCAGUCCAAGUACUAGCUAGCUGGUAUGCAUGGUUGCUGCUGAAUCAUCUUUGCAAGUUGACUUUUUAUUUGCUCUGCAUCAUCAUCAAUCCCAGGUUUUGCUUUCUCAAUAUGAGAUCCUAGUCACUGUGUAGUUUAAUUUAAUGAUGCAAAUUCAAGCACGUGAACUCAAUUUCAAGGUGGACACCCCACUUGAAUGGCCAGAGUAAUUAAAGAACCGAACUUUCUCGGUUUCGAAUCCAGCACACCCCACAAGCAUACACCAUUAUAAUGUAUAUUUACGGAUUUCUAUCUUGUACUGAUCGAAAAGUCUAUAUACCUAAUAAUAAUAAUAAAAAAGUAUGUAAUUUCAUAUCAGUUUCAACAUUGUGAUCACUAUUAUUCUCUGUGAGAUUUCUGUGAUGUUUCCUCUGUAAGUGCUCUAGUAAAGUGGACAUAGCAUUAACUCAACUACAUAUAUACUACGUACUAAAACCCUUGAGGUAAAGCACUGGAAAUAUCUUUAUGAAUAAAAUAUACAGAUUCAUGAACUAGUUAAGUGGCCUCAUCCUCUCUGCAUCAGAAAGUCAUCAAACAAGCAGUAGUGGUAAGACUAUGAACAGUUAGAACCUCUGGUUUCGUUAUCAGACAAUGAAACAAACACUUCCAACUUUCUAGUAGUUUAACAUUGUUCAUGGAGAUUAGGUUUUCAAAAUAAGUGUUCUCCUAAUUAGUAGUGGAGUUGCCACUUUCUUCUGAUUUGCAGCCAAUGAAACUGGCUCUUGGGGGCUUAUAAAUUCAUGCUGCUGUGGGUCUCUCCUCUUAACUCACACACAAAGAACUAAAAGAGUUAGCCACCAUCAUCAUGGGUUACACAAACUUCUUAGCCUUCACUACUUCAGUACUUGUUCUUAUAACUUUGUCUACCCUUCAUCAAGUCACUCCUUUCCCUUCUGCUGCAUAUUCUUCUUCUUCUCCUUCUUCUUCCGGACCUCUCGAUUACAACUACUACGACCAGUCGUGCCCUCGUCUGUCCAUGAUCGUUCGGUAUGGUGUAUGGUCAGAAUUGCUGCUUCGUUGCUCCGUCUACACUUUCACGAUUGUUUCGUCAAUGUAAAUAUACAUACAAAUUCACUAGAAACUAGCUCUUUUAUUUUAUUACCAAAUCCCUGUUAAAGGGUAUAAUGUUAAAAAUCUUAAAAAAUGUAAUGUAAAUUAUUAAUUUUAACGGUGGUUAGAAUCUGUUGAUAAAAGGUCAGUUUGGGGGCAAUGCUCUUAAAUAAUUCUCUUAGGGGCGGUUGGCAACUAGCUGUUAAAUGAACUCACUUUAAGAACGGUCAACUCAACCACUAAAAAGACUCACACCUAACAAUAUGAAUAAAAGUCGUCGUUAAAUGAGCCCAAUUUCUUAUAAUGAUCUUUCUGUUUCACUAACUAUUGAGUUUCGAUUUUGACUACCAUGUUGAUGAUGAUAACAGGGUUGCGAGGGUUCGAUCCUGCUGGACGACACGGUAGCUUUCAAGGGGGAGAAGAAUGCACAAGCGAAUCGUGGUUCCGCCAGAGGGUACGAGGUUAUAGACAGCAUCAAAUCUGAUGUCGAAAAGGCUUGUCCAGGCACGGUCUCAUGCACCGACAUAUUGGCUCUAGCAGCGAGAGAAGCUGUUGUUAUGGUAACAAAAAAAUGAUUGCUUAAUCAACCAUGAUAAUUACAUCGCUAAUCAUUCCUAUCAAAUUAUGAAACUUGAUGGGUUGAACACCGAUGAGUCACUGAACCAAAUUCUGACGUUAUGACAGACAGGAGGGCCUUAUUGGCCAGUUGCAUUAGGGAGGAGAGACACGUUGACUGCCAGGGAAGCAGCAGUUGGUCAACAGUUGCCAUCUCCUAUAGAGUCAUUGGAUGACAUCACCGCAAAGUUCAAUUCCAAGGGCCUUGACCUUAAGGAUGUUGUUGUCCUUUCAGGUUCGAUACCCAACUCGAAACGAUCUAAAAUAUCAUCCCAACAACUCGAGUUAAAAUCCGAUUGUACAUGAUUUGAAAUUGCAGGAGCACACACGUUAGGAUUUGCACAGUGCUUUCUGAUAAAGAGGAGGCUAUUCAACUUCAAGGAAUCGGGCAAGCCAGACCCGGCACUCGAUUCCUCUACGCUGACGAACCUGCAGGGGAAAUGUCCGAACAAGAACGAGUCGAACUCGAUCCUCGUCCAGCUCGAUUCGACAACGACCCGGUUCGACAACAUGUACUACACCAACCUCGUAAACAAUGCUGGCCUGCUCGACUCGGAUCAAGCCCUGCUGAUGAACCCGACAACCGGGGACAUGGUCCGGUCCUAUAGCUCGAACCAGUAUUUGUUCUACAGCGACUUCAAAGCAUCGAUGAUGAAGAUGGGCAGCGUUGGUGUGCUCACUGGGAAGGAUGGUGAGAUCAGAAGGAAAUGUGGAUCUGUGAAUUAGUAUAUUUCGCCAUGAUGAUGAAAAUAUAUAUGUUACACUUUGAGCUCGAAACUUGAAGCUUAUUUAGUGUCACUCAUGUACAACUUAAUUAGUUGAUGUGUUCAUGUGGAUGUUAUGCUAUGGGUGUUUAAUAAUGAAAAAAUAAUAUGGGAAAAACUAUGGCUGAGGUUGGGUUCAUCGAGUUUACAUUAUGGAAUUAUAUAAAUAUCAAUUAAAUUUUUUUCCCCAGCAAUUCGAAUUAUUGGAAUGUAAGGAUUGAUGACAUUAUAUAAGAGCAUUCAGACAAAAAAAUCAUGUGUUCGAAUCUCUAUGACUCCAAUAUUAAAAGUGAAUCUACAUCAAAUUAUAAGUAAUUUAUAUAACACCCCCUUAAUCCUUUUUAACAAAACUCAUAAAAACAUGAAUCUACAUCAAAUUAACUAUAAAUAAAAAGUAAUUAAUUAAAAGUACAAAUCCUUCAAAUUAAACACUCUAUUAACAUUAAUUAAUCCCCACCACCAACUUUAGACUUGUGUUGCUCGUCACCUUCUUCUUCUUCUUCUUUACUCUUCUGGGUUUCUUCUCCCGCGGCCACCUCUUCCGCCACCGGCGACAACGGGGGCGGCGGCGGCGGCGGAGCACGACGUAGGCGACCGUCAACGCAAGAGGAGCACUUAGUUUCGACCCAACUUUCCAUAUCGUAGCGGCCGGCGCCGUACCCCAAAACCCGGCCGCCGUAACAUACCCUUCCGAUGACGCAAGCGAUUCCUCCCAACACCGUUACGACCGCCACCGCCGCUAUCGCAGCUCCAACCGAGGCCAUUGAUUGACUUUGUACGUUGUUGGGUUUUGAAAAUAUACUGCUCUGCGAGUGAAGAAGAAGAAGAAGAGUAUGUUAAAACUUAAAAGCUCUUCAUCUCCAAUAUUGAUGAGUUUUGGUCAAAAGGGUUACGCUUUUUAAUUUCUUCAAAUUAAAGUUCCUAAAUAAUAAAGGUUGGAAAUUGGUAAUGACUGAUGAGGAUGUUUUCUGCCCUUUUUUUAAUUCCAUCUUUAAUCUUCUCUUUUUUCGAGCUAAUUUUUUUAAACAAAGAGAUAACAAACACAUACAAAUUGAAAAUUAAUCUAAAAAAUAAGGAUUAUCGAUAAUAAAUGAUAUUUAAAAGCCUCGCGUAUCAUACAAUAGACGGCUCUGUUACACGAUCCCUGACAGAGAAUAAAUGACAGAUCUCACCAACAAUGGAGCUCCUAAUCAUCGAAUUAUUUGAAAUCGGAUCUCGAACAAAAAUGAGAUGCGUGAUCUUAAACCAAGGGCUCAUGAGAACCCAAAAAAAUGUCCAUACCGAAUAUCAAACAGAUACUAAUCCAACAUCACCUUCAAAAUCGACCUACAAAACUCCUUAACGAAUACCACAAACACACAUUAUGGACACCCAAUUAUAAUUAUUACUUAUUUGGUGUAAACUCUAAUAUUCGACUACUUACCAACUAAUUCAAUAGAAAAAUUAUUCCGAGUUAAUAUUUUAUUUUUCUCAAAACAUUAUUAUAGGGAUUAAUGUAGUUUCUGACAUCACUGCACCGAAAAUUAUUGAUAAUAAUUAUUACAUGUGUUUAAUCCCAUAAAUAGAAAAAAAAAUUAGCUAGAUUUUGUUACUGAAAACAAAAGAUUAGGCAUGAAAUCAGAAAUCCCCAAGCCGCUGGUUCGAUAAUUUUAUGAGAUGGGCUAUAUUCAAUGUCGGCCGUCGAUGGCUUGGCGGGCUGGAUUUUACCAUCAAAACUCCACCGGGCUGGGCUUUGUGCAGCUCAAUGAGUGAUUGGCUGUAAUGGACUGUAAAGGCCUUUUGUCAUUUGCCAAUUGAAUGUCAGCCCGUUUAGAUUGAAUUAAUAAGGAAAUUGGGAAUUAUUUCUUUUUUCACAUGUUUUUGAAAAGGGAGUUAAAUUUUACAAGGGAUUUGUGUAUGUAUAAAUAUUAUUAAAGUAAUUUUUAGGUAAAAAUAUACCUACUAUUAAAGUAAUUUUAAAAAUUAAUAAAUUUAAAUUAGUUUUUUUUUCAAAUUUAAUUCGCUUAAAGCCAUAGAGUAUAUGAAUGUAAUAUGUGAAAUAUAAUAAUUGGCAAUUCGACUUAUAAAAAUAAUUUGAUUUAAAAUUCAUCACCCAAAUAAUAAAUCAAUUAAUAUAAUAAAUGGGUUUCGUUAUGCACCUAAAUAGUAAAUUGAAAAUAAAGUUUUUUGUUACAAUUCAGGUGCACUAAUACGUAUCAAUAUUGAUGUGAGCAAACCAUAUGAAAUAGAGUAAAGUACCAUAAAAUUUUACAAAUAAGAGUAAAUAUCCACUUUGUUCGUCCCCUUUGAUAUUAAGGUAAAAAUAGCUUUUUUUGUCGCGGAAUAUGCAUUCUCGUUGACGAUACUUAUCACUAUAUCGUAUACUGUCAUUUUCCUUAUCGGAUUUUAUAAUGAAGACUCGAUUUUUUCUCAAUAGGGUAAUAAUGUAGGGGCGGAUAUAAUAUUGAUGGGACGAUGAUAGUGAAGAAUUAAAACAAAUGAUUUCAUUUUUGACGACAUAUAUAUUUAAUUAGGGUUCCGCGGCGUGAAAAAAGAACUAUCUAGAACUCCAUUGCCAACCUUCCUCAUUUUGCAGGCUUGUAGCAAUAAAUACACACAGAAACGGUCGCUUUGUUUUCCCUCAUCAGUCUCCUCCUCAAAAGUCUCCAUUUGCAAAUCAAAGAAUCUGAACACAAACACAGAGUACUUCGAAUACGAACCAGCAGAAAAUGGCGCGCCCAAGGUGUUUCUUCGACAUAAGCAUUGGCGGUGAACUUGAAGGCCGGGUUGUAAUCGAACUCUACAACGACAUUGUCCCUAAAACCGCCGACAACUUCAGGGCUCUCUGCACCGGUGAGAAGGGCAUCGGUCCCGCCACCGGCGUCCCUCUCCAUUUCAAGGUUUUCACUCUCUCUAGUUUUAAAAAGGCCAUCUUUCUGUUCCGAUUGCUUUGCAUGAUUGUUCUUGGUAGUUGCUUGGGUGAGCUGUUAGUGUUUCGUGCAGUAAUGUAGGUUAGGGUAAGGUUCUUUUGGUACUGUGGAGAGAGUCCUGAACCGUUGCUCGUUGGAUAUUGAUUUCGAAGAAGUUAUCGUUCAUUUGGAAUUGUAUGUUUUGUUUGUUGGACCCUGUUGAAUCUUAUCAGGGGUAUUUAUCUUAGGGAAAGUUUGGAUAUUGGGAUCUAGAUUUGGUAUUUAUCUUCUUGUUUGGAUAUUAGGGAAGCCGAUUCCACCGUGUGAUCAAAGGGUUUAUGAUACAAGGCGGAGACAUCUCAGCCGGAGAUGGUACUGGUGGGGAAUCCAUCUACGGGGCGAAAUUCGAAGACGAGAAUUUCGAGAUGAAACACGAGAGGAAAGGAAUAUUGUCCAUGGCGAAUUCGGGUCCCAACACGAAUGGUUCGCAGUUCUUCAUUACCACAACUCGUACUCCUCACUUGGAUGGGAAGCAUGUGGUGUUUGGCAGGGUUGUUAAAGGAAUGGGAGUUGUGAGGUCAGUUGAGUUGGUCAACACUGCUGAGGGAGACACUCCGAUUCUCGAUGUCGUCAUUGCUGAUUCUGGUGAGAUUCCAGAGGGCGAGGAUGAUGGAGUAAUAAACUUCUUCAAGGACGGGGAUGAAUAUCCGGAUUGGCCGGUUGACCUUAACGACAGCUCUGAGGAGCUUACUUGGUGGAUGGAGGCUGUGGAUUCUAUCAAGGCUUUUGGGAAUGAUCAGUUCAAGGUGAAAUAACUUGUUUCUUUUGUUUGUAACUGCUUUCGAGUACUUAUAUGUCUCUGAUGAUUUUGUAAGUUGUAUGACAGAAACAAGACUAUAAGAUGGCCAUUAGGAAGUAUCGGAAAGCUUUGAGGUAUCUGGAUAUCUGUUGGGAGAAAGAAGGGAUUGAUGAAGGUAAGGACUUGCUUAGUUCCUGAUCAUGGUGCUUUUAUUAUGUUUUGAAUCUUUUCUAGUUCUACUUGGAAAUUAGUAUCUGAAAGUAUAACAACUUUGCAGAGAAGAGUUCAGCGCUGAGGAGGACAAAGUCUCAGAUAUUCACUAAUAGCUCUGUGAGUGCUUACUUUUGCUUCUGAUUACAUCGUUAUGAUUUCUGGUGGAAGGAACUCUAUAGCAUGCCUAAAUACCGCUGUGAAAUGAUUCAUUCCAUGGUUGAUGCAGGCUUGUAAGCUCAAAAUGGGGGAUGCUAAAGGAGCAUUGAUGGACACAGACUUUGCAAUUCGUGAAGCAGAUAACAAUGUCAAAGCUUUAUUUCGCCAGGGACAGGUUGGUGGUCUUAUCCAUGAGUGACCAUGACAGUUUGCAGUUCAUAGUUUUGUGUAAUUUUUGUCAUCAUAAUGGGCAUUCUUUCUCUUGUAGGCAUACAUGGCGCUCAAUGACAUCGAUUCUGCAGUUGAAAGCUUCAAGAAGGCAUCGCUGUUGGAGCCAAAUGAUGGUUAGUGAUCAUACUCUUCUUUUAUUUCGAAGUAUGUCCAUAGUCAGUCACUUGGAUAACUAGCUUACUAGGUGAUCAUUGGUUUUCAGCUGGAAUACGAAAGGAGUUGCUUGCUGCUAAGAAAAAGGUAUUAAUGCAUGCAACACAAUGGAAUCCUCUCUCGUAAUGAUUAUUAGUCGCAUUACUUAAAACGACUAAUGAUCUUGAAUUCUUGACGCAGAUAAAUGCCAGACAUGAGCAGGAGAAAAACCAGUACAAGAAGAUGUUCCAAUAGGCUGAGAUACUCGAGCUAACUGUUGUCCGAGACACCCUUUCAAUUAGAAAUCUGAUGGCUUAGUACUAAUCCAUGAAUGUUUGGCGAGGUAUUUUCAAGUGUCCAUCCUAAUCUGUUACAGUUGCUUUGAUCUGCAUUGUUCACUGUUGCUGAUUUUCGUUUGGAAAAUGCAGAUGUUUUUGAUUGAUCAAAGAGUGGAGCUCGAUGGCUUUUCGACAGCGCUGAAUAUAUUCGGGGGAAGGCUCGAAAGUUGAACCUGUCCUACAGUUUGAGUUUGCAAUAGUUGUAGAACUUCUGAUGUUAACUUUUUUGCUAACGAGCCGCGGUGACUCGACUGAACUUAGACUUUUUAGGGAGUUUGAAACACGCAAUUUUCGGAAGUGAAUAACUGACCGUAAGCUUGCAAACCAUUGCGCUCUUAAAAAAUUGGCGAAAGGCAAAGUUGCCCUUGUUGCAAUCCAACCAACACAUAGGAUUCCUACAAUUGAAUCAUCAUGUAUGAUUAUUUAACAAAUCCAGUCAAAUUCAGUUCAUUGUGAGAAUUCAAUUCGGAUGCUUUACCGAAUUUACAGCCAUAAUCGCAAGUUUUUGUCUAUUCGAGUUACCGAACGAAUUUAACAUGGUUCGACUCUGGCCAACCGAAUUCCAUCCCAAAAUGCACGAAGAAACACAUAAACCAUCGUACUAGCUAGUGUACAACUAAAUCGAAACGACUUAUCAGCUACUAACCACAAGUUCAUAAUGAAGGAAUUUGGCUGAAAAUUCUUGAUUUCAGAACCUGUCCCAAAACACUAAAUGAAAAUGCUAAGCACGGUUUUUAUCCAAAUUAGUAAAAAACCCGAAACGAAAUCGAAAAGCUGUAAACUGAUACAAAUACUAAACGGCAGCUUAUAUGUCAAAAUUGCCAGUUCAUACGCUGCCGCCAUUUCAGAACUCCAACUUCCUUCUGCUGUAUUAAGAGUCUACAUUCUCCACCCGACGGCUCUUUUUCUUGGACUGUUUGGUUGAACCAUUAUCUCUAGAUUUCUUCUUUUCGGUCUUGGUGCUUCCUUUGGAAGACUUCUUCCUCUUCAGAGGCUUAUCCAGAGCUUCCUCCUCAUCAUCGGGGGGAGUAUCAUCAGUAAUAACCUCUGUUCGGACAUGAAAAGGGUAGUUGAGCAUCCCAGAAUACCAGAAACACAGUAUCCAAAGAGAAAGGAGAUGAGUACUAACGUUUGUCGAGGAAUUUGGAAUCGAAGACGACACAAGUGAGAUGCUGCUUCAGGAAAGUCUGCACCAUACAACGGAUGGCAUUCGUCAGUACAUGAGACUAAUUAGUAUUGUUAAAUACUUAAAUUGACAGAUUAAGUACGGGUACAUACAGCUGAAAGAAGCUGUCUUGUCUUCACAUCCCACAAACGUAAGUAGCUGUCGAGACCUGAAAAUUGCAAAGCAGUUAGGAGACGGGAACUUGAGCAUUUGGAGAGAUUGUGGAAGUUAGUGUCGCAUAAUAGAGGCUUAGCGCUCACCGCAUGAUGCUAUCACCGGGUGAUCUGGAUGUCUGGCCAUGGAUCUUAUGCUUCCGGAACACUUGCCCAAAAAGCAUCCUAAUAGUUUUCCUGGAAGUAAAAAUAGUUUCACAGGUGAGGGAUCGUUGAAAAUAACGAAUAGGAACAAAGGAAAUCAAUCGAAAUUCGAAACCGCAUAGAUGUAUCAGCAGAGAUACAUCAAGCGAGACUACAUAGAAGUACCUGUGCGUGUGUCAAACGAGGCAAGGUCACCAGACCCAUUUCCCACAUAAAUAGUGUAACCAUCAUGAUCUUCUGCUACUGAUUUAAUGGGAGUUUCCCGGAAAUCGAAAGAUAUCACUGGUCUCCGUUGAGCAGAAACGUCAUACACACGAACCUGUUAUGCAAACGACCAACUUAGACAUGUAUAUUACAAAGAAAGAAUGAACAUCAGAUGUAUCCACAACAGCGUUGGUCCAUCAACGAAUCUGAAUCUCAUUAAUUAUUCCUGAAAAAUCAUAACAUCCUGGAGAGGAAAGUUCACCUGAUGGCUGUUGGUGCCAGCAACAAACUUCCGGUGGUCGUCCCCAUCGAGGAAUGUCGCAGAUGUAAACCAUGUUGGGGUGAAAAUAUCAAGGCUGUUUUUAGGAGGCUAUAAAGGAUGGAAUUAUUGAAGUGUGUAAGACUCGCAGACUUGAAUGAACAGACAUGUGAAAUUUUGAAUAACAUGCGGUUAGAAACAAUUGAAUGCAUAUGACUCACAGGUUUUGCACCCCAAAUCUUAGUAGUGCUCUCUAGAUCCCACAAAUUGACUUCAACACCCUUCCUGAAUUAGAGGCAAGCUUUAGUUUCCUGAAGAUUCAUUGAAAAAAAAAACAAGCCAAAACUCCAUGGCCACACGAUAUGAGUUCACUUACCCUCCAAACAGUGCAUGCUUCUCACUUGCAUGAACUUUAGAACACAAGAUUGUACCAGCAGCGGAAACUUUCCACGAAUUAGAGGUACCAGUGCUGUUGUUUUCUGCAGAUGUAGUGUCAACUGAUCUUAAACUCGCACUCCCUUUGGUCGAACAUGUAAGCAAUGAGCAUGAUCUAUACAAAGACAUAAUUAAACAAAAUCAGACACUAAGAGCAAUAAACAACAAAACAGCACUAGUAAUCAUCAAACCCAACAUUACCCCGAUGAUCUGUUACUCUUGAAUAAAUGCAAGCCAGCAAUAUCAUCAUCGUCAUCUUCAGGUUGAGCACCAGCAUCACGGGAUAGCGAGACACGAAUGUCACCAUUUAGAGGAUUCAAAAGCUCAAUCUGUUCAGUACAUAAAGCUCAUAUAAAUAUACAACCAAGGAAAUAUUUCAAAACCACAAUCAUAAACAAGAAAAAAAAUCCUACUCACCGUCUUAUUUUUCCUUGAAACCGCUAAUAACUGCAGAAAGCAGCAAACAAUUACAUAGUAAAAAAUCUGUACUAAAUUCUUAAACUAAAAACCCAAACAGAGAGACUCAUUUCCACAAACGUACAGGAUCGUUCUCAGUAUCGUCAAUGGAUGCAGCAAGCACGUAUUUGGAGGACUCGGCGUCCCCCCAUCUUUCCACCACUUGAGGAAUCACGCUACUACCUCGAGACUCAACCACUAGACAGUAAACCCGCAAAUCAGCAUUUUUUUUUAAAUAACAACUUCCUGAUCGAAAUUAGGGCGGCGGUUGAUACGAACCUUUGAUGAGACCUAGUGAGUCGAAGGUUAGGGCUCGAAGCGGAGGGCACCCCGGACACUCCACAGUGGUCGUUCGCGGCAUCCUUUGCUUGUCGUCAAUAAAGUUCAGAAGAGACCAAGUAAGUGUGUUGUCGACGGAUAAGAAGUUUCUUUAUCCGAGAUAUCGCCGGAGAACGAGGCGGAUGGACGUAAAGGAGCCGCCGAGCAGCAGCAGCUUCUGGGUUUGUGCGGGAAGCUGAAAACCUAAAGACACUCUCUUCAUCUAUUUUUAUACUGUCCUUAAUAUUAACCGGUAAAUCCGAACGUGAUUUCUUUUGAAGUUUUUUUGCUAGCAAAUGAACCGGUAAAUAUGGUCUCAUCCGAACCGGAUUAUUCAGGGUUUGACCACUAUUGGCUUGAGUAGAUUGAUUUGCGAAUGAUUCAUGGUUUAGCCAACCUUUAAACCGGUUGCAAUAUUAGCCACCCAUUGGUCUAAAUGUCUAAUCAGGUUUCAGCUAGAGAGUCAAUUAGGUGAUCAAGACCGGUUUGCCAGCCGGUUCUUAGUUUCGCUUUAAGCAUAUCAGCAUGUAAACCGCCAUUGAUUCUACCAGGUUUCUGCUUGCGAUUUCAUCAAAGAUCCAUGCCGCAGUUCUUAGUUUCGCUUUUAGCAUAUUAACAUGUAAACCGGCAUCGAUUCCAUCAGGUUUCUGCUUGUGAGUUAUCGAAGAUCCAUACUGGUUCGGCGAGAGAUUAUACAUUAAGCCUUUUAGUGUAUCGAGAUGUAAACCACCACUGGUCUAGUGAGGUUUCUGCUAGCGAGUUAAUAGGCGAUACCGGCUGGUUACCCUGCGAUUGCUGGUUUUUCCAUCCGAAUGUUGAGUUUGAUCCAGGUCUAAGCGCACCAGAUCCAAGUAUAAAAACUAUUGCAGUGAAAAAAGGACGGUAACUAUUCAUCUUCGGACUCAAUUUCUCGAAAGAGACGAUUAUCAAGUUAGGGGAGUAUAAUGAUCCGGUCGAACUGGAUCCAAGUAGUAUCUACUCAACACAGUAGCAUCAAAACGUUAUCUUGGGAUUCAAGUUCUCCAAAGAGACCGAUUUCAAUUCAGGGAUGGCGCAAUGCAGGAUUUGAAAAAUCCAGCUGCACCGUACCACCAAUGUAAUCGACCAGUCGAAAUGGAUACCCAGUAGCAGCCAUUGGCAUUAAGCACACGAGCAUCAUAGAGAGUAUGCAUCCUCUAACUGUUUUCCAAAUACAAAUUGUGCUCUUUAAUGUAGCUGAUCACAGAAUCUGCUGUUAAAUACUUAAUAGAUAAUCCUCUCAAUCUGCAAUCCCUGGAAUUUGCGGGGAAUAAACUGAAUUAAAGAGGGGCCCUUUGAUCCAAGAAUUUCACUUAACGUUGUUCAUCAAGAAAAUUACCUCAGUUUUGAGGAACUUAUCAUGUUUAGUAUAGGUUCAUCAACAGAUUUGAUGUUCUCCUGCAACACAAUCACAAAGCAGUUCAUGUAAGACAAUUGGGAAACAUAACAAGGAUUUCUAGCCCUUGUCCGAAAAGAUGACGAAUGGAGCUCUUUUGUUAUACUCUAAUCAAAUGUAAGCCCUCCUACGAUCGACAUGCUAACGGACAUGCCAUUUUGUCAAGUUUGUUCACUCAAUUAAUGCUCGAGGUUGGUUAUUAGUUCAUUGAGAGUUAAUCGAGUGAAAAAUUGUGGAGUAAGCAAUGUUGAGUCAGCAUAUAUCAAAGAGUUUGGAGAAAGAAAGUCGUCCAUUUGCUAGUAGAUCGAUCAUAGGAAGACUUUAGUCGCUAACCUUGUUUUGAUUCAAGAUCUCAUCAGCAGCUAUGAUCUGCUGGACAUCGUGGCCUUCCCUUCUAAUGCAAGCUAUACCAAAGUCUCUGCAUAUGGUCCUUACCUAUAAACAUAUUAGACCAUUGUUUUAUCGUUCUACUGAUAAAGGAGACAUCAAUCGCAAUAGAUUGUAGUUAAAACUUAAGCCAAUGCCACAUGGAGUAAAGACACUACCUGAUCAGGAAUCCAGAAUCCAGGAGUGCCGAACGACUGCAGCAGAUCAGCACCACAAACAAGCAUGACCUUGAGAGAUUCUUCAAAAGAAUGCAAGGAGGGUAAAAACACAUCAGCAUUGUUCUCACACACAUCGAAAAGACUAACACAAAGCUUCUCUGCAACCCCGAGACAGAGGAAUUUAAACCCAGGAUACACCUUUGGAUAUACGAACUUGGUUGAUGAAAACACUUUCGAUUCUUUGCAAUACCGUCAAGGAGCGCUGGAAGGUGCUUUGAUUUGCCUGCAAUAGCAUGUUUCAAUCCUAUAAACUUAACAGGUAGGUAGUCCCUUUGGUCACGAAUCGGAGGUUUACCUCCCAAGGAUCAACCAUGACGAAAUCAGAGCUCUCACAUGCUAAAUUACACAUGCGCAAACGAUGCGCAGCAGAAAUGAGACCCUGAACAAUCAAAAGAGUGGAAUCAGAUGUUACAAUUGGCAUUUUAAGAUGGAAGGAACUGGGAAAAAGGAGAUACCGGCUUCUUAUAGGCAUCGGUAACUGGCGACAUAUACCCAGCAAUCACCCGAUAUCCCUCCGAUUGUAAUGCAUCUCUUGCCAGCUCUACAAUCGCACAUUUGAGAACCAAAAUCGAAUACAGGGCAUUUUUCUAUUGAUGCAGAAAAAACUUACCAAACAUCCGCAAGUGCAUGAACGUAGGCGGAUUGAAGCUACCAGUGGCCACUAAAACUACAUACACCUUGCCUUCGUCCCUACAGAGAGAUCUGGAAGAUUAGAACAAUCUAAAAGGAAGGAAUUCACGAGAUGACGGAAGUUAGAAGAAUACUUGGUGGGAGCAGAGACUUUGUCCAUCGGCAGUGGAUAAUCCAUAGCGGACAAUUGCACAGAACGGUAAUCCGAUUGAUCUACUACGUGCAAGCUCCACUGGACAUCUAAUUACCUCAGCUGGCUGUCAAUGAAUCUCAAGUAGCUUUGAAUCGGCUAUCAGCUGUGAAAUAACCCCAAGCCAAGACUCAGUGAUCAGACAUGGGAUGGCGAUCAAACUCGGUAGCCUCAAUCCUGUUAGGCCAAAUGAAACAGAAUGAUUGAACUGAAUGAUUGAGGAGGGAGUUGAAUUGUGGGUCGAGGUAAUCGGAGAUGGUGACCGGAGAAUAAGAGGAAGAGAGAGAGAGACGUUGUUAGUUUGUUACUGUUGAUGACUGAUGGUGUGGAGAUGGAGUUGAUUAUGAUUUGUGGGGUGGGUUGCGUUUGGUUUUUUAGGGUUAGAAUCUGAUAGGACUCAACCCAGUCAGGAGACCGAACCCAAAUCUCUUGGGUUCAACCGACUAACCUGAAACAGAGUUUUUUUUUUGUUUUUUUUUACAAGAGCGGAAUUGGAGGAGUCUUAUAGGCCUCCAAAUCGCAUAGGACUUGGGAUGUAGAAGUAUAAACUUGUAAAUGGAUUUUAUUUGUGUUAUCUCCUAUAUUCAGGAUCGAAUUCAAGAAGAUUAUCGUUAUUUUAAUUACAUUUACUAAAUUCAGGAAUUUUUGAAAUGUGAUUGGACGGUCUGCGUGACCCACACCUAUCGAAAAGACAACUAUAUUGCAGAUCUGUUAGCUCAUCUUGUCAUUUUGGAUACUCGCUAUCACAUCAUUUCUUUACUUACGAGAUUUUUAAUCAUAUUCAAACAAACAUAAUUAAGGUAGUUUUUUCUCAUUUUAUUAAUGAUUAAUUGACAAAUCACUGUCUGAAUUUCUAAAAAAAAUAUAAUGUGGAAUCGAGCAAAAAUCUCCUCGAAUCCAAAUGCCCACAGCGAAAUCAGCACCGGAUCGAUACCGUGAAAGAGUUGAAAUUGAGCUUCGUAACGGGUCAGGAGCACAUCUUGAAUUGAGCCCAAAUUUACCACAGUAUUGGGCUUUCGGCCCAGUUUUUGAUUGAUAAAAUCCUUUUGGUGGGCUGUAGCGUAGGUAUGGAGCAAAUUUGCAACAGCAGCUGCUUCUGAACUCUGCAAUGGCGAGGCGGGUGCUGCCUCCGCGUCUUCUUCUCAGUUCCAUCUUCUCUACUUCCGUCAAGGUGUCACCUCUGACCUUCUCGUCGUGUUUCUCCACACUCUUCCCAGAACACAAAGCUCCACCGGAUAUCAGUAAUGACCAGGAACGCCAUGAGCAAGUUACAAAGCUUAUGGCUCUCCUUCAGGAAGGCAGCAGCGAGAAAGCUCACUACUUUACGAAAUCAAUGCUUCUUUCCAAGUCCCCAUUCUCGUCGCCUUCCGAUCUUCUCUCCUUCUCCACCACUUGUUCUCCUUCCUUGAGCCCCGCACUCUCCAGCAUGUUACUCGUCAUAAGCUGCGAGUCCAAAAUGCAAGGUAUGGAGUCAAGGAACAUGGCUGGGAAUCUCUCUGCGUUUUUUACGGCUAGAGAGUGUCUCGGAACGUUAGUGGAGUCCAAGCAGUUCAAAAAAGUGCUUGAAUUGUUUGUGGAGACUGUGGAGUUAGGUUUCAGACCUGAUACGUUCAUGUGUGGGAAAGCUGUGCAGGCAGCGGUGAAGUUGGGGGAUUUGAAGAGGGCAACUGAGAUUCUUGAAUCGAUGAAAAGCUGUGGAGUGCGUCCUAAUGUGUUUGUUUACAAUGUUAUGAUCGGCGGGCUGUGCAAGGAGAAGAGAAUCAGGGACGCAGAGAAGGUGUUCGAUGAAAUGCGUGAGAGAGGGCUAGCUGCUAAUAAAGUAACCUACAAUACGUUGAUUGAUGGGUAUUGUAAGGCGGGAGAGGUCGAGAAAGCGUUUGGUUUGAGAGAUAGGAUGCGUAACGAGAACGUUGAACCUAGCGUUGUUACAUUCAACACGCUUCUUAGUGCUCUGUGUAAGGCCAAGCGAAUGGGAGAUGCCAAAAUGUUGCUGCAGGAGAUGGAAGCCAAUGGCUUUGCCCCCGAUGGGUUUACUUACUCCAUAUAUUUUGAUGGUCUGUCAAAGAGUGGCGACGGAGCAAGUGCAUUGGAGUUGUACGAGACGGCCGUUUCGAAAGGAAUGAGGAUGAAUACUUAUACAGGUAGUAUCUUGUUGAAUGGGCUGUGCAAAGAAGGUAAAGUGGGGAAGGCUGACGAGGUUUUGAAGAAGUUUAUGGAGAAUGGAUUUGCUCCUGAUGAAGUGGUGUAUAACAUUCUUGUUAACGGGUACUGUCUGGUGGAUGACAUGGAUAGAGCGAUUCUGACCUUGGAGAGCAUGGAAAGAAAUGGUUUGAAGCCAAAUAGCAUCACUUACAACUGUUUGAUCCAUAAAUUUUGUGAAAUGCAGAAGAUGGAAACUGCGGAGGAAUGGAUAGAGAAGAUGGUAAUGAAGGGAGUUGCACCAACUGCGGAGACUUACAAUACCCUUAUCGAUGGGUACGGACAAGCUUGCAUCUUUGACAGGUGCUUUCAACUUCUUGAAGAAAUGGAAGACAAGGGUGUAAAGCCGAAUGUGGUAACGUAUGGCUCGUUGAUAAAUCGUUUAAGCAAAAACGGGAAGAUUAUUGAAGCCGAGAUAGUCCUUAGAGAUAUGUUUGGGAGAGGCGUCUUGCCCAACACACAGAUAUAUAACAUGCUCAUUGAUGGCAGCUGUUUAGCAGGGAAGUUGCAAGAUGCUUUGAGAUUCUUUGAUGAGAUGUUGAGAAGUGAUAUUGUCCCUUCUCUUGUGACCUACAAUGCAUUGAUGAACGGUCUCUGCAAACAAGGGAAGUUAACCGAAGCAGAAGACUUGCUUCAAGAGAUCGCAAACCACAGACUUAGUCCGGAUGUUAUAACAUACAACUGCUUGAUCUCUGGGUAUGCAAGUGCUGGCAAGAGGCAGAAAUGUCUGGAGGUGUAUGAAACCAUGAAGAAGACCGGCAUCAAACCUAAUGUAAGUACAUUCCAUCCCUUGAUCGGUGAAUGUGGCAAGGCAGGCCUGGAGAUUAUGGAGAAACUGUUUAACGAGAUGCUGCAACAGAACUUGGUUCCGGACAGAGUCAUUUACAAUGCCAUGAUCUUUUCCUUUGUGGAGUCUGGACUUAAGGAAAGAGCCGUUGGUUUACGCGACGAGAUGCUAGCUAACGACAUUCUCCCGGAUAAUAUGACCUAUAACAGUCUGAUUCUUGGACGGGUUAGAGAAGGGAAGUUCUCAGAAGUGAAUGAUCUUGUUGCUGAUAUGAAGGCCAGAGGAUUAGCUCCGGAAUCAGACACUUACAGUAUACUGAUUAAGGGAUACUGUGACCAGAAAGAUUUUGGUGGAGCGUACGCUUGGUACAGGGAAAUGCUCGAGAAUGGUAUGUCACCAAACAUUGGGAGUUGUAAUGAGCUAAUCUCUGGUCUUAGAGAGGAAGGGAAAGAGGUAGAAGCCCAGAUGAUUUUGGCAGAGUUGAACAGUAAAGGCGUGGACGAUUCAAGCCCUGCCUAGGAGCCAUCUGCAACAUGAAAACUGUGCUGAAAAUUCCAGUUUGGGACGUGAUAUUGGCAUAUUGCUCAUAGUAAGUUAUUAAGUUUUUAUUCAGGUGUAGUCAUCAGAUUUAUGUGUACAUAUGUGAUAUAUGUGACAUUUGCCCUAUAUGAUUCUUCAUCUGUGAUAUGGUUUAGAGAGGCAGAGAGUAGUGCAGAAUAAUUUGCAGGACAUGUGAAAUGUUCUUGUCGAUUAUCUGUAUCUGUAUUAAGCUCUGUGACAUUAUGCAGUGGGAAUAAGCUAUAUGGCCUUUUUGUCUUGAUUCACUCAGUUUCACUGCAUUUUCUGUCCAAACAUUGCAUGGCCUGUUUCCUUUUGUCGUUCAACCUAUGCACACAAUUCUUAGAAGGACAAGCUUGCCCGUUUCCUUUUGUCUUUCGGAACAAGCUUGUCGAUUGGAUCGCAAUCUCUGACUAGAAUCUUGGUUUUUCUGAGGACCGAUUCUCUCGUAUUAAUUUCUGUGUAACGAACCUACAAAGUCUAAUUGAAUCAAAUGAAUCAAACUUUUCCAAUCAAGGUAUUGGAAAUGGUAAAUAGUUAAAUGGAGAGGAGCGUGGAACAUUGGAUUCUGUCUUGUCUGUGGUUUUCUUUAUUUUACCAUUAUAUCUCUUUUUUUCACCACUAUAUCAGAUUUUUGGGGUUAAGUGGACAAAAGAAAGAUGGCUCAGAAAACGAUAAUGAAUGGAGAAGAAGACAAGCGGUGGAGUGGAGGAUUCCUUCUGUCGUCUUCCGCCGCUUGCUUACUUAUUGCUUUUUACAUUGGAAGUCAUCUUUUUUUUACCGUGGUUGCUUACAUUGCUUUUAUAUUAUUUUUUACCUUUCUCAGUAAUUCAGUAUCACAUGUCUAUCUGACAAGAUCCACAGUUUUCCCAACUUUGAGUGAUCACUCCUUUUUCAGCCAAGGAUAAUGGAUUUGAGUGGAGGAUCAAGUAGGUUGAGCGAGUGAUUCUAAUAGGUAUGAGUGUAUGAGAGUAAGUGUGAGAGAUAGAAGUACUAAGGUGUGUUUGAAGAGGUGUAACUAACUGGAAGUGUAUAAUGUAGGCAUGUGUAUAGUCUUUAAGCGGAUAAUUGGAAUGGAUGAUGUGUUAUAAAUAUAGUGAUUAAUUUGUUUUAAAUUGAUCUAUCAUGAUAUGAGUAUGUACUCGACGAGUCGUGUGAUAAGUUGAGAAUAAAGGGUUAAAAUGUGCUUAAACUCGAGACUCUAAAAGGCGGGCAGAAAGACCGAGCUAAUGAAUAUAUACCAAACAUGUAUGGACUACAUUAUUAGCCUAUCACGUUUGGUAAGGUACGUGUCCUUCCUAUAUGGCAUUGAUGUAAAUAAACCUUUUGUUUUCUUGUUGAAAUAUGAAAUGAAACAUGAAACCUUUAACUUAAUGCAUGUUUUCUAAUUUCUAUACAAAAAAUAACAAAGGGUUAAAUGGAUUGUUCCUAACAAAUUUUAUUUUCACUCAAUAUCACAUACCAAAAAACCCUUCAUUUAAUAUCAAUAUACCCUUUGUCAGACAGAAUGGUUACAUUCAUCAUUACCAAACUAAUCCUAAUUUCUUUCCUGAUUGUUUUACCGUUUUGCUACCGUGUACCUAGAUUAUAACAUUCAUUAAUAAAUUAUUUACACAAUAGAUGAUCUAACAUCUAAUCAAUGCCUGCAAUCAAUUGUGUCACAAAGUAUUCUACUUUAACUAAACGUUAACCUAAGUACCUAACACAAAAUCCAAAACCAUGACUAUCCCAAUGCUACAUUUUGAACCAAGCAAUAAAAUCAGGUAACUUUAAAGAAUAAUAAAAUGAGAGGACGAGAUAAUCUCGUCACUGAUUACUUAAUCAUAAUUUGAAAGGGAUUAAAUCCGUCUAUGUUAUCGAUUCAUGCACACGAUACUAGUCUAUUCACCGGCUCAAAUAACAAAACAACAAAGAUAGAGUAAGGAUAGCAACGGGUAGGUAUUACGGGUUUGGUAUAUCCAUCACCCGCCCGUCUAAUCGCCUGGUUUUAUUCGUACCUAUCGGUUUAAUUUGUACAAACAAAUAUAAUAUAUAAAAAUCGGGUUUGAUGAUAUCCGAUGUGUAACACACCCGACAAUUACCCACGACUUAAAACAACUUUCGUAUAACUAUUGAUACAUAUAGCUACACGAAAGUCGUUUUAAACCAUGAGCACCCAUCGAAUGUGUUACGAAAAAAUAUCGAAUUUGCCCACACUCGUCAAUUACUCGCGAUUCACCGGAUUUUAAUCGCACAAAAUGGAUAGAUUUCAAAUGGAUAUCCCAUUUUCAUAUUAUCAUUACCAUCCUUAAAUAGAGUGAUAUCUAUUCAUUCCUAGCUACCACCAACAAAUAAGGCAAAAUCAUUCAUUUAUUUACCUCUCUUCCUCAUUAGCAAAUCGUGCAGCUCUCUGUAUCACUGAACCACUGUGGACCACAAAAACCUCUAACAAAGCAAUACACCUACCGACGCUACCGUUAACUAGGGUUUUCACAGUAAAAACGGAAUUAGGCAUGGGAAUCAAUCGGCUAGAUUAAAAACCAAUCAAAUUCGGUCAGUUAAAAAAAAACCAGCCGAAGGGCGGUAAUCGCCUUGACCGCCGACCUCCUCCCCACGGUUAAUUAACCGAUUGUUAACCGACCGUCACGAUUAAUUAACCGAUAAUUAACCGAUAAUUAACCAACCGAUUAAUUUAACCAACACUUUAAUGUCAAAAUUGUGAGUUUUUAUUGAAUUUGAUAUAAUUUCAUCUAGGUUUGAGGAUAAUUUCAUUUUUUCGGUUAAGCAUAAUUAACCUACUUUUAACCGAUUAACCGAUUUUACCAAUACAUCGACCGUUUCAUUGACCGACCUAAUUUCGAUUAAGCCGAUUUUUCACAAAAUCGAUUGGUUAACCAAUUUUAACCGAUUAACCAAAACCAAAUUCAUCUCAGCCCUAAACGGAUUCAACAAAUAACCAAAAACUAGAAGGAAGAAAAUAUGCCAAAUAUAAAUGAACCAAAGUAUAACGUAAUUAAACCCUAACUUUGGGAUAUAUUUACAGCCAAUACACAUGCCAGAUGUCCAGCUCUUUCGCCACGUAAGCUCAACAUUUACUCACGUUAACGUAAAGAUCGAUUAUUUUUUAACCCUUCAUCUUAAUGUUAGUGGUUAUGAGUUACGAUGAUAAUAUCUUAUCCGAUUUCUUGUAAUAUAUAAAAAACAUUCACCACAUUUUAAAAUAAAUGCGGUUAUUUUCAAUCUCGCUAAUUUAAUAUAUUUUAUUAUAAUAAAACAAUAAAUUUUUUCCGUUGACUUAAGAUACGCUUCCUCGCGUAUCUUAAACCGUAACUUCUCCCCGCAUGCGGGGAGGGAAACAACGUUAGAUAUAAAAACCUCCAGCCCCUCGUGGUUGGUACCAAAAUUUAGCUAACUAACUAAUUUCUCCCUCCCUCUCUCUCUCUAGGAAGUCUUUCUUCUCCAGCUAUGUACUGAUCACUCGUCACUGCAACAGAUCUCCAGCAUUGACUCAAUCCUUCAGGUAUUAUUCAUCAGAAUUUCCCCUUAUUUUAAUGUCUAGCUUAUUGGCAAAUUAUUGUAUGUAUAUUCAAUUUUCUGUUUUUUUUUAUCGGCUAGCAACGGAAAAAGGAGAAUAUAUUGGCUUUUUGUGUGGGAGAUAGAUAAGACUCACAAAGAAUCUUGAUUUCAGUUUUUUUCUACAUUCAAUCGGAAGAAUUGUUCCUCUUCUAUAGCGAAAAUAAACGAUUCUCGCAUGUUGUUAGGUUUAUCAGUCUUGCUAGCCUUAUGAUUCUCUAACUUUUUAUGUUUUUUAUGUUUUCACAGAUCUAGCUACCAGUUGUCGUACAGGGAAUUGGGAGGUGGGGGGUUUAUCAAGCUGUGUCUAAAUCCUAAUUUAUUCCCCUACUGAAUUUCUACUCUAUUUGUUCUUCAAUGUUUGAGUUUGAUUUGUAUAGAAUUCUUCCUGCAGUACGAAAACAAUGAUUUAGAAGGGACUUACAGGAGUUGGUUUCUUCUUAGUUACUGAGGGAUGGAAAGGGGAGGAAGAAACGAUGCUGUGGCGUCGGCGCCCCAGCCGGCGGUGAUCUACACGGAUAGGCUGGGGAAUCCAUUGUUGCAGCAGCAGCAUCAGCAACCUACCAACUGGCCUCCUCCUGCACCAGCUAAUUUUUCGUCAGGGUUUAUGCAUGCUGCUGCUCCUACUGCUGAUAUGGAGAGAUGGAAGGAUGUUCCUUUUCAGUGUCUCCUGGCUCUAACAGAAACAGCAUCAUCAAUACCCACUGUUCCUCCAUGGGGAGGAAUAGACUUAAACUUUGAUUAUGGAUACCAAGAUCCUGGUGAGUAGACUUGUUUAUAUUUUUUGCUCUGAUUAACUUCAAGUGAUUCUUCUGGUUUUGAUGUGUGUAAUAAUGAGAGAGUUUGCUUCUUACAGUUCCUCAGCAUUAUGGCUACAACUUACCUCAAGGAAGCAUGGCCGAGUCGUCCUUGAGUCUUGGAUUUGCUCCAGUUACGCCGCAGAAGGAAAUGGUGCAGAGUCAUUAUAUUAAUGGAAGCCUUGAGCUUGCUCCUAUACUCACAACUGAGGAGGAGGUAAGAGUUGAGGGCGUACAAGAUUUGCUUUGUCAAGAAACACUUAUUAACAGAGCUGAUGCUGUCAUUACUCCGGAUGAAAAUGAUGGAAGGAACUUGGAAUCUACAUUAGCAGCUAGCUUGACAUGGGCUAAUCACAACCGCGAGAAGGUGGAUUUCAGUUUAAUCGACUUGAACAAGCUUCCGCCACUGCCAACACCGAAGCGCAAGGCUAAGAGGAAGAAGCACGUACCUAAGGUUCUCGUGCUCGUGGAUGGAAAACCAAAGAAGAGGAAACAGCCGGAGACAACGCCAAAGCCGUCCAAGAAGAACAGCGAGAAGCAAGGUGCACCUACUGUAGUGAACGGAACCACCGCUCCAUUUGAGAUGCAUGAUGGAGUUGCUUUUAAAGAAGGAACUCCGAGGAAUAUAAAGUACUCACGGAGAGGUGUUCAUAAAACCGUCACAGGCAUUGAUUCAGCAGGAAUUCAGGAGGCCAAUAAUACACCGCCACCUGAAGAAGCAACUGGAGAGUCUGCAGAUCCACAACAAGGUCCUCCACCUGCAAAAAGAUCAUGUAGAAGAGAGUUAAGCUUUGACUUAGAAGAACCAGCAGCUCAAAACUAUACACCCGGCUGUCUAUCUCCCAAACGCGUGACGCGCAGCCAAUCAGCAUCCAUCGAAGUGAAGAUGCAGAAAACAUCGGCAGGAGCUCCGUACGACUUCAACAGUUCUGUUAAUGAAAUGCUUAGAAGUUAUUCUUCCAUGACAGGAGAAGCAAGUGGAUCAGUGGACAAGCAUUCCAGUCUUGCUGAAUCAGCCACUGGAUUCUGUACUGGUUUGUCUUCAUACCCGACAUUACCUUGGGCGCUAAUUCCGGUGUGCCGGAAGAAGAGGACCAAAAAACGCCAAAACUCAUCGGUCUCAGGUGCACCAGUUCAUUCAGCUUCCAAAAAGGUCAUAACAAGUAUUGCCACACCAGUUUUUCCGGCUUCUGAAAAGGCAAUCUCCAAUACUGCAACAGCAAGCAUCAACUACUUGACUUAUGCUCAUUGUGCUGGAAAUGGACUUCCGGUAAGUCCCAACGGAUCUAGCCUUCGGUACAAACUGCACAACUUCAGUCCCUUAUAUGAUACUGAAAUGUUGGCAACUAAAAGAAGGUCUAGAGCUCCUGUUCGGGUUCGAGAUUUGGCUUCUCUUGUCAGUAUACCUCCUCUGACUGCUCAAACACCAACGACUUGUGGCAACCGACAUAUUCAGAGCUUAAAUAGGCUUGAUCAAGGUUUGGCUUCUCAUGCCAGUAUCCCUCCUCUUCAGACUGGAAAAAUACCAACGACUUUUGGUAACCGACAUAUUCAGAACUUAAAUAGGCUUGAUCAAGAUUUGGCUUCUCUUGCUGGUAUCCCUCUUCAGACUACUGGCCAAAUACCAACGACUUGUGGUAACCGACAUAUUCAGAACUUAAAUAGCUUUGAUAUGCGUAUGGAAGCACUAGUUGCCGAUGGUAAAGCAACCUUGGAUGCACUAGUCACAGGUGGUGGUAAAGAAACCUUGAAGACUGCGAAAAUAAGCAGAAGGGAUUCUCAAACUAUAUAUGCAUCCUCAAAGGUGAAUGAUAGAAGACCACAAGGCAUUAUGGUUCCGUUGGUUCAGAACAAAUUGCUACAUCCGGCUUCAGGUAUUGACUACCAACUAAUACCAAAAUGACAAACGAGAGCCGUUUCAUAUUUUGUUGUGCAGUUUUGCUUAUUCACAACUACUUGGUGCAGGUUCCGUGGACAUUCUAUUUAACCAAUUCUUACAUGUGGAUGUCUUGGCUGAGCAGUUAAACCACCUUAACAUUAACAGGGGAAACCCCAUCAAUGCUUGUACACAGAGGAAUCAACUUGUUCCUUACAAUGCUGGGAAACAAAAGCAGAAUGCAAUGGUUAUAUACACAGGCGAUGAUAGGAUUAUUCCAUUUCAACCACCAAAAAAGAAGCGACCAAGGGCAAAGGUCGAGUUAAAUGAGGAGACACUUAGAGUGUUUAAUCUACUAUUAAAAGACAUAGACAGCGAAGGUAUUGAUGGAACAGAUGAAGCAAAGAAAAAGUACUGGGAAGAUGAAAGGAAGAUCUUCCGAGGACGAACAGACUCCUUCAUAGCACGAAUGCAUCUAGUACAAGGUACAAACUUUAUUUUUAUAUAUUUGAUUUAGUUCAAUGGAAAAUUAUGGUAAUAUUACAUGGAAAAUUUUGCAGGAGAUAGGCGUUUCACUAGGUGGAAGGGAUCAGUUGUGGACUCAGUUGUUGGGGUAUUUCUAACUCAGAACGUCUCAGAUCAUCUUUCCAGGUAAAAAAAAGAUUUCAAGUUUAGAACAAUUAGAAAUGUUAAGGUAGAAGUAGAACCACUUACAUGUUAACUUUCUCAUUUCAGUUCUGCAUUUAUGUCAAUGGCUGCUCGUUUCCCAAUUAAGAGAGAGGAGACGCCAUGCCGGGAUGAAGGAAUGCACUGUGUAGUGGCUAAUCCAAUAGUUUCUAUGCCAGAUGAGGAGGCCGUGAACUUGGAUGAGAUGUCAAAUCAAUCAGUUUCUGACAGAAGUUCCAUAACUCUUCAUGAUCCUCAGAUUGAAGAAGCAGAAGUUGUGCAUACCAUAGAUUCCACAAGAAGCAUGAGUAGUGAUACUAACUUCAUACCUGGUGAAGAGAACUACAAUGAAUUAGUGAUCUCUUCUCAGAAUUCAACGGUUUCAUCUCAAAACUCAAAUUCACCAGUUAGUCAAACUGUUGACAGAAAAGAUUCAUCCUCAGAGACCAACUCUCAAGAAUUGGAUCCUACUGACGCAGCCCAAAUCAACAGCUUUAAUGUAGUUAAUUCGUUUCUUGAGCUCCUACAUAUGGCUCAGUCUGGAUCAAGCAUGCCGCACGAAGUUCCCAAAUUUUUGCAUCAAAGUCUGAACGAGACUGCCAAAACAUCAACCCUGGGUAUCCCGACUCGAAAAGAAUCUGUUGAACCGACGGAACUUGCAGACGAACCACUGAAACAGUUUGUUGGUAACGUAAUGCAGCAACCAGAACAAGUUGCAAACCGUUCAGAAGUGAUGUUUGAUAUUGUGGAAAGUAGCAGGGAGAAGGAAAAUGUUUCAGAGAAAACGACGGCUUCAAAUAUGAUUAACCAUCCCAAUUCUAGAGUUAAGGGUGUCAAAGACAUCGAUGCUGCUCGGAGAAAAGCGAAAAGUAGAAGGGUUGGCGAUGAAAUCAAAGAUGCUGACUGGGAGGCACUGAGAAGAAGUGCCAAACAAAGUGGGGAAAAAAAUGAGAGGGCAGAGAACGCAAAGGACUCUGUGGAUUGGGAAGCUGUAAGAUGUGCAGAUGUGAAUGAGAUUGCUGAGACAAUAAAAGCACGUGGGAUGAACAACAUGCUUGCAGCACGCAUUAAGGUACGCAGCAAAUUUAUACAUCCAAUUGGAUGAUAGUCUUAAUUCCUUGUAUGUACAUGAUCAUGUUUUUCAUUAACUGCAGGAGUUUCUUGAUAAAGUGCUAACCUAUCACGGAAGUGUUAAUCUGGAAUGGUUAAGAGAUGUUCCUCCCGAUAGAGCAAAGUAUGUAUAGAAAGUUCAAAGCAUGUCACUUCAAUACAUGAACAUGUUCCUGCACCCUUCAAUUAUUCUGUUACUGCCCCUGUUUAUGUUUAUGGGUUAUUUCGACAUUACUAAAUAAAUCAAUCUCUUUGGACUGCUACAAAGGGUAUGCAAACCUCACUAAGUUCCUAUUGAAUACAUGUAAGAACUACUUUUUUAGACAUGUAAGAAUUACUUUUUUGUAGAGAGUACCUGCUAAGCUUUAACGGGCUGGGGUUGAAAAGUGUGGAGUGCGUAAGGCUUUUGACGCUUCAUCACCUAGCAUUUCCGGUAAGUUCCAAUAAAGAAAAAGUUUAAAACUAAUAAAGUUUUGUUAUUCAAAACAACCAUGAUUUUUUUUUAAAGCAAAACAACCAUGAUUUCGUUACCAAAUAACAGGUUGAUACCAAUGUUGGACGCAUAGCUGUCCGACUUGGAUGGGUCCCACUGCAACCAUUACCUGAAUCACUACAAUUGCAUCUACUAGAAAUGUAAGUACUAUUAUAUUAGCAGCUGGGAUUUUUUGAGAAUGAGAACAAAUACAUGGUUGUGACUUACGGUGUUCUCACUGCAGGUACCCUGUACUGGACACAAUUCAAAAGUAUUUGUGGCCUCGAUUGUGCAAACUUGAUCAGAAAACACUGUAAGACAAAAUCCAAAAAGAAUUAGUUUGUAUACAUCAUGUGUGUCAAUCCGGCAUGUGCAUAUUUCGAUUAUCUUCUACUUUUAAAUGAGAAAGACUAAACGAAUCGAUAUACCAAACAACAGGUAUGAACUGCAUUAUCAGCUUAUCACGUUUGGAAAGGUGCGUGUCAUUCCCACUUGUGUCGUCGAUGUCAGUAAUCCAUUUGCUUUUUUGCUGGAAUGUAAAAUAAAACAUGAGAUCUUUCAACUUGAUGCACAGGUUUUUUGUACAAAAAGCAAGCCGAACUGUAAUGCUUGUCCAAUGAGAGGAGAAUGUAGACAUUUUGCCAGCGCAUUUGCAAGGUUUGUAAGGGCAUAUUAGUACAGUAGAAAGAUAAUGAAUAACUAGUUACGACAACACGUGAAAACAUUCCCACAAAUGUUGAAAUGGGCAUGUAGGAAUUCUCCUAUAAUCAUCCAUUCUAAAGCAUGAAAGAUUAAUCACUUACCGUGGAAAUUUUUAAAUGCAGUGCAAGACUUAGCCUCCCGGGACCAGAGGAAAAAAGAAUCGUCACUGCAACUCAAGAAAGGCCACCCUUCCCAAGGCCGGUGAUGCCAAAUGCUCAAAGAUGUCCACCUUUAUUAACCAUAUGUGAACAGCCAAAUCAGCCAACGAUAUCUCUACUACCGUCAAGUUCAUCAGCACUACCGGCAACCUCAUCAGCACCUGAACAAGAAAAACAACAGUUGACGUCAAGUUCAUCAGUGCCUGAACAAGGAAAACAACAGUCGAUGUCAAAUCCAUCAGUGCCUGAACAUGGAAAACAACAGCCUACGUCAAGUUCGUCCAUGCAUGAACAAGAAAAAUGGCAACCAACGUCAAGUUCAUCUGUACCCGGCCAAGAAAAUCAUCAUUCGGUGGUGUCGGAACAGCCAGUAGCCAAUUUAAGAGUCAGCCGUGAACCGAUUAUCGAGGAACCAUUAUCACCUGAGCCAUUCAUAUUACCUGACAUUGAAGAUUUCUUUUACGAGGAUCCUGACGAAAUCCCAGUUAUUAAGUUGAAUGUUGAAGAGCUUGCUCAGAAUAUAGAGACAUAUCUCAAGCAGCAGAACUUGGAUAUUCGUGAAAGUGACAUGUCAUUGGACUUAGUUGCGAUGGCUACUGAAGCUACGUACAUGCCUCCCCCCAAGCUUAAGAACAUUAGCCGGCUACGAACGGAGCACCAAGUGUAAGUGAUAAAAUCUUCUCCUUGAUAUAGAGUGCCCCUCUAUACUGCUAGUAUAUAUUAAUCUUCUUUUCCGUUUACAAACUCUACAGAUACGAACUUCCAGACCGUCAUCGUCUCCUAGAAAAGGUUAGUUAAUUCUGCAAAUUUCAAAACCAUCAUUUCAUUAACUUGACUACAACUAACGUUUAUUGAAUUAGUUUGACAAGCGAGAAUAUGACGACCCAUCUCCAUAUCUCCUUGCAAUAUGGACGCCAGGUAAGUGAAAUUUAGCAGUAUGUCUAAUUCAAUAACAAUAACAUACUUUAAACCAUAAAAUGAUUUCAGACUUGAUGCAUCUACUCUCACCAGGCGAAACAGCAGACUCUGUCUCACCUCCAGAAAGAAGAUGCACCUCACAGUCAGAGGGUAGAUUAUGUGAGGAGGGAACAUGUCCCUUGUGCACCAGCUACUUGGAAGCAAAGCGUCAAAUAGUCAGAGGGACUAUUCUGGUGAGGAAGUGCACUUCAUUCUUUUUAAGUAUCCUACGUUGAAAAAUAUACGUUACAGUCGAAGUCAGCAUCUGUUUCGCCAGCUUACAAACUGAUGGUCAUAUCACAUGAAAACAGAUACCCUGUCGAACAGCAAUGCGAGGAAGUUUUCCCCUCAAUGGCACGUACUUUCAAGUCAAUGAGGUAACUCACCUAAGAGAAUCUUUUUCCUGCUAUUAGGAGGAUCCUACAGCAGAAGUGACAUAGCAGGAGUGACUUACCGUUUAUUUCAGGUAUUUGCUGACCAUGAGAGCAGUCUCAAGCCAAUUGAGGUACCAAGAUCAUGGCUCUGGAAUCUACCAAGAAGAACGGUCUACUUUGGAACAUCUGUGCCGACAAUAUUUAGGGGUAAAUGAUUAUUACUAUUUUAUGAAAAAUGAGCAGUUACUAUUCAGGAUCUCUCCUUGAUUAAUAGUGCUUUCGUGUGAAAAAUGUUUCAUUAACAGGUUUAACGACAGAGGAAAUCCAACAAUGUUUCUGGAGAGGUAAGCAAGCAGCUAUAUUGCUUUUAUUUAUUUCUGUUCUUAAUGAUGCAUGAGGUUAUGAUACAACCAUUCAAAUAAAAGUAAAAAAUUGAAUAAAUCAUCCAAUUCAAACCUAUACAGGAUUUGUUUGUGUGAGGGGCUUUGAGAGAGAGACGAGAGCCCCACGUCCACUGAUGGCCAGACUGCACUUUCCAACCAGCAAGUUGAAGCCUAAAGGUAAAAAUGUAGCUGAUGAUGAGUCCUAACAAGUUUAUACAAAGACUCCUAUUUCUGCACCAAAUACUGCCUAACGUACACCAAGGUUCCGAGGAAGAAUAACUAGCAGGAUCACUUUCAGCUGACUCGGACUCAGUUCAUAAGCCAAAGGUGUAUAGAUAACAAAGUUGUAACUUGCCCCGGCCCCCAAGUUGUGCUCGUAUUUGAGCCAUUCUUCCAAGGUUGGGUAAUAAUGGCUAAAUGUUUACUUGUGCCUUCUUAAUGGAUGUCAACACUAUUGAUAUGUAGAAAACUGUUAGGAUCAGGAAGGUUUAGGAGUAGUUGUUGCGUUAGUUACUAACAUGUUCUUCUGAAAUAUAAAUCAGGAUCGGAGCUUCUGUCUGUGUUCUAAGUUAAAACGCAAAAGUUCUCAGUAUUAGAUACAUACAAGAUUGCGAGCCAAAAAUAGAAAUGAAAGCCGGAAAAGUUCAGAUUAUCCAGAACAUUACCUGUCAUUCUUGCACUCCGCGACUGCGAUCAUAUUGUGUUUCUUCACCAAAUACUGAUUGGCACGGUCGUUCACUGCCAGCCAGAUGCAGAUUCCACCAAUCUCACAUACUUGCAUAUGCUGAAUUACCUAAACGCAAUGUGAAUAUGGAAAUUACUCGAGUUAGAGAGGAGUGUGAACAGAGACUUCUAAGCUAUAUACUGACAUGAUCAACGAAAUAGAACACCGACUACAAUCGCAUAACUAAUUUAAUGCAUAAUUCAAAUUUCAGAUAGCGGUGCUUUGUACAACCUUAGGCCAACACGUGAAAGCAGGAAGAUGUAGAAAUAAGGCUAUGCGAGUUUCAGUCUACAAAUAACGUUCAAAUCAAAGCAUGUCCAUCAUGAUUCAGUGAUUCUAGCGAGAAUCGCCCGCCAUUGAUGCAAUCCUAAGAACUCUCGACAAAGGUGAAACGAAUUGACGACUACAAACAACUUCUCGAUUAAUACUGUGCAGAGGUAUACUUUGUCAACACUGACAAAACAGGUAGAAAAGAUGAGAGCGUCUGGAUAAGGAAAGAAAUCGUACCUUGCCAUCUCGUCGCCGAGCUGACGAGAGAGAGAGAGAGAGAUAGAGUGGGAGAGUGAGGGAUGGAUGGAGGGAAGUUAGAUUGAUUUCCGGUGAUUCAGCCAAUUUGCCGCCAAAGUUAAAAAGCAGAUCUCCCUUCCUCACUCCUCCCUGCUUCCCUAUUCAAGUUUAAAUUUUAAAAUUAGUGCGGUGCUGGGCUUUAGUUUGUUUUCAGAAAUCGCUUUGGGCUUUUACUGGAUCUGAAUUGCAGGAUUGCAUUUGCCAAGUGGUCAAGCCCAUCAAUUUAUUGGGAUGAUCUAAACCUGAAGCGUGAAAACACAUAAUUUGUAAGUUUAUUUUAUGUAAAAGAUUCACAUUAUUAUUGUAUUUAUUGUUCAUAAAUACAUGUAUACCUGUACAUACGAUUGCGCAUUUUUAGCAACAUGAAAUAUUCAUGUGGAAAAAAUAUUCAUCUAGUUCAUUGACAACUUAAUAAUUCAUGUAGCUUAUAACAAGAACGUAUCGUACAUAUUAAAGUAAAUCGAUAAAAGAAACAUAUAGAUACGUCGGAAUCGAGCUGUUGCAUGCCAAAUUUUGAAUACUCAUUUUGGCAUCCGUUGGCUUUAGGCCAAUUGAAGUAUAAUGUCGAUGCAUCUCUUUUUCAAGAAUGAGGGUUUACACGGAAUGGAGACGGUUGUUAGAGAUGAAGAGUUGACUAUACUGGUCGAAGAGGACAACAUAGAGUCCAAAGCAAUGAUUUGCCAAUGCAUUGGCGAAGCCAUUUUCCGUGAUGAAACUGUUGAAUGAGUUGAUUAUUAAAAUUGCUAUCGUGACUAUGAAAAUUCAACAUCUCCACGGCAAUUCGUUUUAUCACUAAUGAUUCUAUAGUUUGUGAUGGAUUAGAUUUACCGUCGCAAAAUGAUGUAUAUCGUUAUGCAACACAUUUUAAUGGUUGUGAAAAGUCGUUUACUAUUACGCAAUAAUCGAGACUAACUUGGCAACACCUUUUUCGUCAUAAAAAUUGUUGAAUGAGUUUAUUACUACAGCUGCUAACUUGACUAUGAAAAUCCAACAUCUCCCGGGUAAUCUAUGUAUCUGAUAAAAAUUAAAUAAAAAGAGGAAUAAGGAAGGAAUAACAACAGAAUAAUACCAGUGAUUUCCGUGAUUUCCGGCCUUGAGGUCAACUAGUUCACAAAAAGAAAGCGGAAUUAGAGGUUUUGGUGAAAGUGACGACUUAGUUACAAAAAAGAGACUAUAACGCUCCGUAUAUACAUAAGGGUUUCAAUUACCCAUAACCAUAAUGGUUCUAACCCGAUAUACAUUAAUAAUAUCACACUAAAAGUAUUAGUACAUAAUAGUACACGACCUUUCACAACUCUUAAGAUGUGUUGCAUAAUAAUGAUAUACACCCUUUUGUGACGAUAAAUCUAAUCCGUCGCACACUAUAUAAUCAUCAGCAACCAAUUGCACGAAUUUUUCUACAGGUAUUUUAAUAUGUUGGGACGAUUUAAUAUAGCCAACCAGCAAACAGGCUACCAAGUUGAUGAUCGAUAAAAUAUUUGUUUAUAUAUAUAUAUAUAUAUAUGUGUGUGCGCCUAGUGUCAAUUUCUUUUUCCACCCAUUUGGCUCUGCGUUUGAUUACAGCUAGCAAUAAAAAGNNNNNNNNNNNNNNNNNNNNNNNNNNNNNNNNNNNNNNNNNNNNNNNNNNNNNNNNNNNNNNNNNNNNNNNNNNNNNNNNNNNNNNNNNNNNNNNNNNNNNNNNNNNNNNNNNNNNNNNNNNNNNNNNNNNNNNNNNNNNNNNNNNNNNNNNNNNNNNNNNNNNNNNNNNNNNNNNNNNNNNNNNNNNNNNNNNNNNNNNNNNNNNNNNNNNNNNNNNNNNNNNNNNNNNNNNNNNNNNNNNNNNNNNNNNNNNNNNNNNNNNNNNNNNNNNNNNNNNNNNNNNNNNNNNNNNNNNNNNNNNNNNNNNNNNNNNNNNNNNNNNNNNNNNNNNNNNNNNNNNNNNNNNNNNNNNNNNNNNNNNNNNNNNNNNNNNNNNNNNNNNNNNNNNNNNNNNNNNNNNNNNNNNNNNNNNNNNNNNNNNNNNNNNNNNNNNNNNNNNNNNNNNNNNNNNNNNNNNNNNNNNNNNNNNNNNNNNNNNNNNNNNNNNNNNNNNNNNNNNNNNNNNNNNNNNNNNNNNNNNNNNNNNNNNNNNNNNNNNNNNNNNNNNNNNNNNNNNNNNNNNNNNNNNNNNNNNNNNNNNNNNNNNNNNNNNNNNNNNNNNNNNNNNNNNNNNNNNNNNNNNNNNNNNNNNNNNNNNNNNNNNNNNNNNNNNNNNNNNNNNNNNNNNNNNNNNNNNNNNNNNNNNNNNNNNNNNNNNNNNNNNNNNNNNNNNNNNNNNNNNNNNNNNNNNNNNNNNNNNNNNNNNNNNNNNNNNNNNNNNNNNNNNNNNNNNNNNNNNNNNNNNNNNNNNNNNNNNNNNNNNNNNNNNNNNNNNNNNNNNNNNNNNNNNNNNNNNNNNNNNNNNNNNNNNNNNNNNNNNNNNNNNNNNNNNNNNNNNNNNNNNNNNNNNNNNNNNNNNNNNNNNNNNNNNNNNNNNNNNNNNNNNNNNNNNNNNNNNNNNNNNNNNNNNNNNNNNNNNNNNNNNNNNNNNNNNNNAAUAUAAGCGUAUUAAGAUUAUAAAACUGUCAUGUAGGCUUCUUCUCAAUUCUAGUGAGUCCACAUCGUCACGUCAAAACGCUGCCGUUUGAAUCCAGUUUCAGCCAACUUUUGAAUCUUCCAAUUCUUUCUUUGGUCACACAAAUAUAUAUAUAUACACUAACUCUUAUUUAUAUAAAUUAAAUUUAUCAUUAAUUCACAACCUUUAUAUAUUUAAAAAAAAUCCAAACCGCACCACCAAUAUUAUACAGCAAAAUGUCAAACAGCUGGAGUAAUUAACGCAAUGGAGAUGGAUGGAUGACAAUUAAUUAAUUAAGGUUGCUGGCCUUUUUCAUAAUUAUAUAUGUGUGUGUUGAUUAAUUUGGAUUCAAACCUUCUCCACCAAUAAAAUUGAUAAAAGUAGUCAAGGUUAGUUCGACCAAUGCCACCAUGUACGUGUUUGUCCAAUAUAUAUAUGCAACUUGUACGUAGGAUAUAUGCUUAGUGACAGAAAGGCUGAAAGCUAAAGUCAUAAUUAGGACAUCAAACGACCCCAUCCAAUGACUUUUCUAGGCCGUGGUUUUCCGGCCGAUUAAAUUGUUCAAAUGAAAUUGUUCAACAUGAUGAAACCUUAUUUUUUAAUCAUUUUUAACAUUUAUGUCAAAUAUUAAUUAUUUUAGCCAUUCCCAACAUACACGUCAAAUAUCAGGCCAGGUAAAAAAUUUCCAUUUGACCAUAAAACUUGUCGAUUUCCAGUGGGAUUAACACCUAUGCUUCCGAUCUAUUUUCACAUGAAAAUUUCAAAAUUUUCAAAUCGACUAAUAUUUGACAUGCAUGUUGAAAAUAGAUAAAAUCAAGUGUCAUUAUGGUAACCCCCUGUAAACAAUGGCCAAACGAAGUUAAAAAUCAAAUUUACUCGGUGUUAUUUUUAGCAUGUUGAAAAAUGUUUCUUUAACUCAUUAGGCUAUUAUUUGAAGGGUUUAACAUGGUCAAACUUAAUAUUUAAUCAUUUUCAACAUCCAUGUCAAAUAUUAGCAAAUUUAAAAAAAUUCAAUUUUAACUCAAAAUUUGUCAAUUUCCAAAAGGAUUAACCUUUAAAAAUGAGCCAUUUUGAAUGAAAAUUUGAAAAUCGACUAAUAUUUGAUGUGCAUGUUGGCAACAAGGCAAACACCNNNNNNNNNNNNNNNNNNNNNNNNNNNNNNNNNNNNNNNNNNNNNNNNNNNNNNNNNNNNNNNNNNNNNNNNNNNNNNNNNNNNNNNNNNNNNNNNNNNNNNNNNNNNNNNNNNNNNNNNNNNNNNNNNNNNNNNNNNNNNNNNNNNNNNNNNNNNNNNNNNNNNNNNNNNNNNNNNNNNNNNNNNNNNNNNNNNNNNNNNNNNNNNNNNNNNNNNNNNNNNNNNNNNNNNNNNNNNNNNNNNNNNNNNNNNNNNNNNNNNNNNNNNNNNNNNNNNNNNNNNNNNNNNNNNNNNNNNNNNNNNNNNNNNNNNNNNNNNNNNNNNNNNNNNNNNNNNNNNNNNNNNNNNNNNNNNNNNNNNNNNNNNNNNNNNNNNNNNNNNNNNNNNNNNNNNNNNNNNNNNNNNNNNNNNNNNNNNNNNNNNNNNNNNNNNNNNNNNNNNNNNNNNNNNNNNNNNNNNNNNNNNNNNNNNNNNNNNNNNNNNNNNNNNNNNNNNNNNNNNNNNNNNNNNNNNNNNNNNNNNNNNNNNNNNNNNNNNNNNNNNNNNNNNNNNNNNNNNNNNNNNNNNNNNNNNNNNNNNNNNNNNNNNNNNNNNNNNNNNNNNNNNNNNNNNNNNNNNNNNNNNNNNNNNNNNNNNNNNNNNNNNNNNNNNNNNNNNNNNNNNNNNNNNNNNNNNNNNNNNNNNNNNNNNNNNNNNNNNNNNNNNNNNNNNNNNNNNNNNNNNNNNNNNNNNNNNNNNNNNNNNNNNNNNNNNNNNNNNNNNNNNNNNNNNNNNNNNNNNNNNNNNNNNNNNNNNNNNNNNNNNNNNNNNNNNNNNNNNNNNNNNNNNNNNNNNNNNNNNNNNNNNNNNNNNNNNNNNNNNNNNNNNNNNNNNNNNNNNNNNNNNNNNNNNNNNNNNNNNNNNNNNNNNNNNNNNNNNNNNNNNNNNNNNNNNNNNNNNNNNNNNNNNNNNNNNNNNNNNNNNNNNNNNNNNNNNNNNNNNNNNNNNNNNNNNNNNNNNNNNNNNNNNNNNNNNNNNNNNNNNNNNNNNNNNNNNNNNNNNNNNNNNNNNNNNNNNNNNNNNNNNNNNNNNNNNNNNNNNNNNNNNNNNNNNNNNNNNNNNNNNNNNNNNNNNNNNNNNNNNNNNNNNNNNNNNNNNNNNNNNNNNNNNNNNNNNNNNNNNNNNNNNNNNNNNNNNNNNNNNNNNNNNNNNNNNNNNNNNNNNNNNNNNNNNNNNNNNNNCUAAAAUAUGUUUGGUUAAAAUUUGUAGUCAUCAUAGCAGAAGAUUACUCAAUGUUCUUGAAGUGUCCUUAUAGAACAACAUUUUUAAGUUUUAACUAAUAUGAUAAAUCAACAUCUCAACUAAAUAUAUUUUUUGCUUAAAUCGCUUUAUUUAUUUUUUUAGAAUAUGUACAUUCAUUUUCUCAAAAUAUUAAUGUACUCAAAAUCUAUUUAUUUUUACUACAUACUCUUCCUUGGAUCAUCAGCAUGUUAUUCUUAUUGAAUAAUUAACAGAGCUCUGUAAUUGUCAUUGUGAAGUCAAUUUAUCUCAUAUUUACCGCGAAGUUAAUAAUGCUACGGACUACUUAGACAAUCCUGAUCAUUCUUUUGUUUAUGAUUUAUAUUUGUUUGAUUCAUCGGNNNNNNNNNNNNNNNNNNNNNNNNNNNNNNNNNNNNNNNNNNNNNNNNNNNNNNNNNNNNNNNNNNNNNNNNNNNNNNNNNNNNNNNNNNNNNNNNNNNNNNNNNNNNNNNNNNNNNNNNNNNNNNNNNNNNNNNNNNNNNNNNNNNNNNNNNNNNNNNNNNNNNNNNNNNNNNNNNNNNNNNNNNNNNNNNNNNNNNNNNNNNNNNNNNNNNNNNNNNNNNNNNNNNNNNNNNNNNNNNNNNNNNNNNNNNNNNNNNNNNNNNNNNNNNNNNNNNNNNNNNNNNNNNNNNNNNNNNNNNNNNNNNNNNNNNNNNNNNNNNNNNNNNNNNNNNNNNNNNNNNNNNNNNNNNNNNNNNNNNNNNNNNNNNNNNNNNNNNNNNNNNNNNNNNNNNNNNNNNNNNNNNNNNNNNNNNNNNNNNNNNNNNNNNNNNNNNNNNNNNNNNNNNNNNNNNNNNNNNNNNNNNNNNNNNNNNNNNNNNNNNNNNNNNNNNNNNNNNNNNNNNNNNNNNNNNNNNNNNNNNNNNNNNNNNNNNNNNNNNNNNNNNNNNNNNNNNNNNNNNNNNNNNNNNNNNNNNNNNNNNNNNNNNNNNNNNNNNNNNNNNNNNNNNNNNNNNNNNNNNNNNNNNNNNNNNNNNNNNNNNNNNNNNNNNNNNNNNNNNNNNNNNNNNNNNNNNNNNNNNNNNNNNNNNNNNNNNNNNNNNNNNNNNNNNNNNNNNNNNNNNNNNNNNNNNNNNNNNNNNNNNNNNNNNNNNNNNNNNNNNNNNNNNNNNNNNNNNNNCAUUGUUAGCUUAAUCAUGUUACAUUUUAUGAGAAUAUUAAUUUGCCAAUUUAUGAAAUGAGUCUAGACAAGGCUUAAAAUCUUCCUCCAAACAUUUUAAAUUAUUGUAAUAUUUGUACAACUUAUGUUGUGAUAUAAUUUGUAUAACUCGAUUACAGUGUGGGCUAAAUAAGCUAUGAUAAAGAAAAUCAUAAGCUCAAUUAUCAACUUGCAUACAUAUCAUGAGUUGCUUGAUUUAGUCAAGUUUGGUCAUAAAUUUUUUAAAAGGUUCAAGUCAAGGUUACAAAUGAGAUUAUUUACUUAUUUGAGUUAGAUUGAGCGGUUUAUCGUGUCAUCUUAAUUGGAAUUUAUUUUGUUAUAAUAGAGUAAAAAAUAUAAUCGAAUUAUAUUAUUUAAACAAAUUUAGUAAUCAAAAGAAUAUGUCAAACGAACGGGCAAAAGUUAGUAUAAUUUUCAGUGAAAACGACAAAUACAGGUCCAAAAGAUUGCACCACCAACGCCAUCGGGCUCGGCAGCCGGCAACCAAUUGAUUGAUUGACUCUUUCCCCUUUCUUUGAAAGCCCAAAUCCCUUUUCUUUGAAAGCCCAAACGGGUCGGCGGGCACCCGAAAAAGGCCAAAAAAAAAACAAACCAGAAAAUUCCGCCACAAAUAUUUCCCCGCCGAACGGGAAGUCCCCACCGGCUUCAUAUUUCCGUUUCUGUCUAAUUUCUUCCCGACAACGGAACGUUAAGAGCGAGAGAAAAGAAAAGAGUGGAGUGAUAGAGUGAGAGAGAGAAAAGAAAACUCCUCUGCGUCCAUUUCUUCAAAAAGUCCUCCAAAAUUCUAGAGAGAGAAAGAGAAGCCAAAACGCGUACCAGGUUCAGCUCACCUCAGCCUCUCUACUUCUAGCAGACGCAUCCUGUUCAAAAUGGCGGUGUUUAGGGUUUUCAGACUAGUUUGACCUGAAUAGAAACUACUCACGCAACAACGAUCUAUCUACUCUGCCUCCCCCGCACCCUCCAUGGAAAUGCCCGGCCGGAGAUCCAACUACAGUCUCCUAAGUCAGUACCCGGACGAGCAGCUGUCGGCGGGGACUCCUCCGCCUCCCUAUUACGACUCCUCCUUCUCCAGCGACUCCAAGGGUAACAGGUUGAAAUCGGACAGAGUCUUCGAUUGGGAAAGCGGCGGGGAUCAUAGGCUGAAUCAGACAACGAAUAAUAAUAACAACAACAAUAGCAACGGGAAUCGGAUUGGUGGGAAUCCGAAUUUGUACUCGUCGAUCGGGCUGCAGAGGCAGUCUAGCGGGAGUAGCCUCGGGGAGAGCUCGUUGUCAGGGGAGUAUUACGCGGCGACGCUUUCCACCGGCGGCGCGAAUGAGAUUGAGGCUUAUGGAUACAUGCAUAGAGGGAUGGAUGCGACGGCGGGGACCACGGUGGGACCUGGAUCGUCCGGGAAGAGCUGGGCGCAGCAGACGGAAGAGAGUUACCAGCUGCAGUUGGCGUUAGCAUUGAGAUUAUCGUCUGAAGCUACUUGUGCUGAUGAUCCCAAUUUUUUGGAUCCAGUGCCUGAUGAAUCUGCUUCUCGGUCUUCCAGCUCCAACUCUGCUGAGACCCUGUCUCAUCGCUUUUGGGUAUACUGAGCAUAUUGUCCUUAUUUUCUUGCUACGAACUCUGUUGCUGAGGAUUAUAGCCUGUUUGUGUGGGGCGGGGUGGUAGGUCAAAAAUGUCCAUUGAACAUUGGAGGUCGAGAUCAGCGCAUGCGCAUUUUCUUCUCUAGUUAGUUGGUAGGGCAUGAGUGGCCUAUCAUUUCAGUUGAGUAAUCAACUGCAUUAGAUUGUUGAUAACAGUUUUGUUCGAUGGGUAUGCAUUGCUGUGACAAUGAUGAUGUGAUGAUUAGGGUAAUUUAGCAAUAACUAGGAUUACAGCUUGUUAAAUGAUGAUGGAUUUGGGAACCUUGCGUAGCGUAAUAGAUCUUAUUUUGUAGAUUCUUGUUUGCUUUCUGCAAUGUUGCAAUGUUUUUCAUUAUAGCCUAUCAAAUUGUGUAGCAUAUUUGGCUGUUCAUGCAGUUCAUGUGGCUGCUUAUAGAUUACACUAAGAUAUUAGUCAAAGUCAUAAGUUUGGAUGAAGUAACAUGGAGGUCCUGGUACUCUGCAGUGUUGUUAAUGGUGAAUGUUGGUUGUCAGUAGUGAUGCUAAUAAGUUAGCAUAAAUUCCCCUUUGCUUUGAUUUUGCUAUUUAAUCUAGCUUGUUCAUCUUUGGAUAUGGUUAUGGUCGGAUAUAUUAAAAGUUCAUGCUUACUGGCAUUUGUAGUUGAACUGAUGUUAUUAACUUCACAUUCAUCAGGUGAAUGGUUGUUUAUCAUACUUUGAUAAGAUCCCAGAUGGAUUUUACCUUAUUCGCGGGAUGGACCCAUAUGUAUGGUCUGUGUGCACUGAUUUUCAAGAGAAUGGUCGUAUUCCGUCAAUUGAAACACUGAAGUCUGCUGAUUCCAGUGCUGAUACUUCAUUGGAAGUGGUUUUAAUUGAUAGACGUAGUGACCCUACCUUGAAAGAACUUCAAACCAGAGUCCAUAAUAUAUCCUGCAACUGUAUAACCACAAAGGAGGUUGUUGAUCAACUGGCUAAUCUUGUAUGUAACCGAAUGGGGUGAGUAAUAGUCGUCCCCUUUGCGUCUCUGUUAGAUUGUUUGGAUGUCACAAAUAUUUUCUAUUUUGUAGAAUUCGUUGUUAAAUCAAACUUUUAUUGCUACAAGGGGUUCAGCGACUACAGGAGAAGAUGAAUUCAUGUCCAUAUGGAUGGAGUGCAAUGACGAUCUAAAAGAUCGCUUGGGAUCAAUUGUUGUGCCUAUUGGCAGCUUAUCCGUUGGCCUCUGCAGACACCGAGCCUUGUUAUUCAAAGUACCUUAUCAUACAUCUUUCAUCUCUUGAAGCUGCUCACACAAUUUGGGUGUUCAUUCCUCACACUAGUUAUUCUGUAGGUGCUUGCUGAUGCAAUAGAUUUACCAUGUCGAAUUGCAAAAGGCUGCAAAUAUUGCAACAGAGAUGAUGCAUCCUCCUGUCUUGUUCGAUUUGGGUUUGACAGGUAUAUUUUUUGCUUAACAUGAGGUCCUUUAUGAUGUACUGAUGUUAUGCUAUGGUCACUUGCCUAGCAGGCUGCUUCAUGAAUUUCUGAAUAUAAACUACCUCUUCCUUCUUGGACUCAUCAAUUGCUUAAUUAUAUCUUCUUUGAAUUGAGUGUCAGUAGCAUCAUAAGGUAUGCAUACAUGCUCUGUGUUCGCCAUUUUGUAAGUUUAAGGCCUCAAGUUUUGCAAGUUGGUUUGGAGAGUUGUACUGCAUAUGGAUGAUUGCGUUUGGUACCUCAGGGAGUACUGAGUGUUUUUUCCUAAUAAUUUUCAGGGAGUACUUAGUCGAUUUGGUAGGACAGCCUGGUUGUCUAUCUGAGCCAGAUUCACUGCUCAAUGGUCCUUCUUCCAUCUCAAUAUCUUCGCCAUUACGCUUUCCCCGGACCAAAGCAGCUCAACAUGGCAUUGAUUUUAGGUCACUUGCCAAGCUGUACUUCUCAGACUGCCAGUCACUGAAUAUUGUAUUUGAUGAUAUUUCAGCAGGUAAUACUUGGAGAAAGUUUAUAGAACAAAGAUGGUAUAAGUUGACUCGUAGUAAUGAAGGCUAGUUUGUCACUGUUGAUUCUUAAGAGAGAUAUUUAAAUGAUUAUGCAUUAGUCUGUUGGUUGGUGAUAUAUGUCAUACUGGUCACUUGCUUGUACUUAUGCGUCAUGUGAUGGUUCAUGUUUUCUAUGUUGAUAAUUAUGGCGUGCCCAACUUUUAUGUGGUAUUUCAGAUGAUAAUACCAUUGUAUACUGUUAAUCAUUGAAAUAAGUUGUGUUUUAAAUUUUAAUAUCAUAAUACUAGAACAACUAUCACUUGGCCUUUCAAUUACUUAUGGUUACUUUGUUUGUAUAUUUAAGGCGAUUUGACUCGAGUUGGAUAUAAGAUUUUUUUGUAUGGUUUUCCUGAUCUUUGCUUAAUCUUUACACAGCAGGCGUUCCCAUUAAUGAUGAAGACUAUAAGUUCCCCACAAGCAAUGAAGUUUCUCAACCGCUUCUGCCGCCUAGAAUUGGCCGUACUGGUGGUCAAGAAAAAUAUUCCCAACCUCCGAAAGCUUAUACUCCUCCACAAAGUAUCCAACCAUCAAACAUGCUCAAAGAUCAUACCGCAAAUAAGCAUUUGCCUCCCACUGGGCAACAUCUUUUAUCUGUACCUGCUCAGAGAUUCGAAGCUAGUUCAGAUUCAAGGUUCAAUGAAGGCAGUCAAUUGAUUUCUGGUAGACCAAGCAAAGAACUAUCGCUCGAGGUUGAGGAUUUUGACAUCCCAUGGAGUGAUCUCGAGUUGAAAGAGAGGAUUGGAGCAGGUAAGUGCUUUCUGCUGCAUUUAUGUUUACUUACACUUAGUGCACCACUCGUGACUGAUAUCUAUUGGGCUUGUGGUACUGAAAUGAUGUAAUGCUUUGAUACAUUGAUUUAUACGAUGCUUGCCAUGCUUCUCCAGGUUCUUUUGGGACUGUCCUUCGUGCUGAUUGGCAUGGCUCAGUAAGUUGUUGAACUUUUUUUUUCUAGUUGAUUGACCUAUAGUUAUUCUAGUUCAAGCAUCAGUAUCAAAAUGGGCGGUGUUGGAGGAGCGAUCUGUGAACGAUAUGGAUAUUGGAGCUGUUAAGACUUAUUUAUGUUUUUGAAAAGUUACAUUUGCCAAAGUAGUGUAGAGCAGUUGAACAUCCAUGCAUUUACUUCUGCUGUUGCAUUAACAUGCAAUCUUUCAUCUGUUAGUUUUUUAGUGCGGAAGUUAGUAAGUUUUCCUCAGAUGAAUUUAGCAAACCAAUUCAAUUGCAGUAUGAAAGGGCAUGAAUCAUUUUAACAUAAUGUGGUUUAGAUGUUUCGGGCCAGAAUUUGGUUGUUUCUUUUUUAUCAGCAUGUUCAUGUGAUUUUGCCUUCUCCAAUUUUGGUUUUAAUCUUGCUUCUACUCCAAAACCUUUUCUCGAUUAUAGGAUGUUGCUGUGAAAAUUCUCAUGGAACAAGAUUUUCAUGCCGAGCGCUUCAAUGAAUUCUUGCGAGAGGUAUGUAGUGUGGAAUCUGAGUCCCAUUAUUGUUAUUCUUGAGUUUUCUAUAACACGUGGCACUUGUCCUUUUUUCAGGUUGCAAUUAUGAAGCGCCUAAGACAUCCAAAUAUAGUUCUAUUCAUGGGUGCUGUUACUAAACCACCAAAUCUGUCUAUUGUGACAGAAUACUUAUCAAGGUCGGAUGGUAUCACUUUAAAAUUUGUUCUGAAUUCUAUACAUUUGUUGUAAUGUGGCUUCAAACUCUUCUUCUCCUUGCACUCACUUGUACCUGAAGUCAUUAUCAUGUAGGAGUUGAUGAAUUGGUACUUUGCAUUGCAGAGGUAGCUUAUACAGGUUACUGCACAAGUCUGGUGCACGAGAGGCCUUGGAUGAAAGACGUCGGUGGAAUAUGGCAUAUGAUGUGGUAUGGGUUCGUGAUUCCAUAUACAUUUCUUUGUGUGUUGCUCGCUCUUUUUUUUAUGCUAUGCACCUCAUUUCCUAUAGUGGAGCUGAUUGUACCUCCGUUGUCUUUGACAGGCAAAGGGAAUGAAUUAUCUUCAUAAGCGCAAUCCUCCUAUUGUGCAUAGAGACUUGAAAUCCCCCAAUUUGUUGGUCGAUAAAAAGUACACAGUGAAGGUAAUGUGACUACGUAUGCUAAUUGCAUAUAGAUAGUGGUCAUCCUUAUUGUUGCCAGGUUCAGUGCUAAUUCUCCUACUGCAUCAUUUGAGUAGGACCUGGAUCCUGGCUUACUUGGAGAUCAUAGUCUUUUUGUCUAGGUUGCUUUUCUAUAUAGAAUCUUUAAUUCUUUGGACACCUGAUCCGUAUGAAUAAUGCAUAAUUUUGACGGUUAAUGAUUCUCCCUGUUGAUGCCUUCUGCUAUCUGCUUGCAUUAGAUACACAAUUGUUUUUCUGUUGAACUUGUGUAAAUUUGUAUUCAGGAGCUCGUGUGCGUAAACAGUUCUCAGUUCUAUCAGUUUUAUUUAGUACUUUUCUAAUCUCUUCUUAAUUCUACCAGGUUUGUGAUUUUGGUCUUUCUCGGUUCAAAGCAAAUACUUUUCUGUCAUCAAAGUCAGCUGCAGGGACAGUAAGUCUAGCCAAGUGAAUUCCUGAUUUGUCAGAGGUCUAUUCGUAAUGAGGCUUAAUUAUGUUUCUUUUGAAUUGUCAGCCUGAGUGGAUGGCCCCUGAAGUUCUACGUGAUGAACCAUCAAACGAGAAGUCGGAUGUGUACAGCUUUGGUGUAAUUCUGUGGGAGCUUGCGACGUUACAGCAACCCUGGGGCAAUUUAAACCCAGCACAGGUAUAUCUUAUACUCAAAUAGGUUCUUCCAAUGGCUGCUAGUUUGUAACCAUAAACAUUUGGUCAGGAAGCCGACUGAUGAUCUUAUCUUACAGGUUGUAGCUGCAGUUGGUUUCAAAUGCAAAAGGCUCGAGAUUCCCCGGAAUGUAAAUCCUCUAAUAGCAAACAUGAUCGAGGCUUGCUGGGCUAAGUGAGUGUAGUAUUACUUGUCUUCCUUUCUACAGUCACUUCAGAGCAAUUUAAUAUUAACAGGAAAUCAAUUUCCUCGCAGCGAACCAUGGAAACGACCUUCGUUUGCCAACAUCAUGGAAUCCUUAAGGCCAUUGAUUAAACCUCCGACGAAUCCGCCAACAGCUCGUUCAGAGAUGUCGUUACUUCCUUGAGGCAAGAGGCAGCUUAAAAGAGUCUUCUUAUUCAUGCACAUAAUACAGCAUUCUUUUCCAAAAUUUUGACGACUUUCAGAUGCAAGCAUUGGUUUGGUAGAUAGCACCUUCAGGUACCAGUUUUCAUCGUCUCUCUUGGCCAACCCUCUCGCAGUUAACUUAUAGUAAUCCAGUUCCAAUUUCAACACGAGCGUAACAACUCGUCUUUGAAUCUCUUUUGCCUGCAGCUACUACUGUUGUAAAUGUCUUGUCUUUUAGAGAUUCUGAGUUUGAAGACAAACCUAAGCUGAUUGCAUUUGCAUUUAUCCCCCUGCGACGGAGAUGCCAUCGAUGAUGGCGGCAAAAAACAAGCCUGUGUAAAGUCGUCUGCCCUCCAUAAUUUUGUAUGUAACUAAAGGGGAAACAGACUAUAACUUAAUGCUUAGUAUUAAUGAGAAGCAGCUUCCGCUGCAAUUGAUGCUGGCCUUGGAGCAUGUAUCAGAGACCAAAGUUGUCUUCAGUUUCUCAUUUGGAUCUUCAACACUUCUGUAUGAAGAACAAUAUCGAGAUAACAACAAGAGUCUACGACCUAAUAUAAUAAUGAAAGUUGAUACAUCAAUCAGCAACACCUGGGUAAUGUAGAGCUUCGGGUGCCACUUGAUGGGCAACCCUACUAUCCCGUACAUUACGAAUACAGACCAAAGACAAGGAAUAUAACAUGCUAUUGCUACGGCAUCCUGGAAGAAACGAGCCCACAUGAAUAUCUGGGAAGGAGCUUGAAAGCAAAGGGCACUGCCUAGCCCAGUCGGUGAAGAUUGUUAGUAGUCAAAGGCGGUGGUGUUGACUGAACAUGAGCGCUUGUCGGAUUGCCAUGAAUUCACAAGGGAUAGGGCGAGUAAUGACUAUAACAAUCAUGGUGGAGACGGACUGCAACGAACCCUAUCGAGUGAAUUUCUGUCUUCUGACCGCAGUUGGUUGCUAGCCGUAGUAGUCGAAACAGCAGGUACAGAACAAACUGUGACAAACGAAAAAUCAAAAUUGUUGAAUGGAGAGAGAGAAAGUUUGAGAGUAGUGAGAUUUUAUUAUUUUAUUAUAUAAAACUGUCAUUUUCAAUUCAUAAAUGCUUAUUAUCGACGAAACCUCCCCUGAAAUCUGAUUGGCGCGUGGCAUAACUUAACUACCAAGUAUCACCACCACCUCUCUAAUCUCCAAAAUCUGAUUGGUUAUCGCCAGCUCUUUUCCCACACAAAAAAUGCCAAGUCGGAUGAAAAUAUCUCGUCCACGUCACGCGCCACCAACAGAAACCACCAGGAAACCUCUCUCCUCCGCCGUCACGUGAUCCCAGACCAGCCCCUACGGCCGCCCCCCCUCCACCGCCUUACUCCAGAUAUUUUCAUCAAACAGUUUGUCGGCGCUUUCUUUCUCCAACUUGUAUAAAUUCACAUGGCUACUCUCACCUUCCAAUUUCUAACAUUUCCUCUCUGUUUCGUAACAUAAAUCAAAUGAACCCAGAGGACGAUAACUACUCGGAAUCACCUGACGCCAGCUCAAUCCCCGUGUGCUCAGUUAUGGAGGAAAUGACCAUUCCUGCUUCUCCAUUAAUGGCCUUCGAGGAUUCCUCGCAGGCUUUCGAGUUCAAAGCUGAGCCAUUAAUCCCUCCGGUUGGGAUUAUUCCUCAGCCGCUUUCGAUUCUGCAGGAAACCCCGGUUCCGCCGUUCCUGUCCAAGACAUUCGACCUGGUGGAUGAUCAGGGACUGGAUCCCGUGAUUUCGUGGGGCGGAAGGGGAGAGAGUUUCGUGGUUUGGGAUCCAGUGGAGUUCUCCAGAACUAUACUCCCUCGCAAUUUCAAGCACAACAAUUUCUCCAGCUUUGUUCGGCAGCUCAAUACUUAUGUGGGUACUUUUGCUGGUAACGGCAGCAGCUUGCUAAAAGCUUCUGUGGUUACCUUACCUCUUCCCUCACUGAACUAAUCCUAUCUUUAUUAUUCCUUUCCUUGUUUAUCGUUUUGAUGAUGUAAUCCGGUUCUUUGUAACUUUGAGCAGAUUCUUCUUGUUGGUAUGUAAUAAGGCUCGAAUUUCGGAUGUAAUUUGAAAUUUGUAAACUGUAAUCAUCUCGGGGAUUAGGCUAACAUGGUAGAUUUAGAUGUAGUAUGUAGAGCUUCUGGAAUUCAAGAUGAUGAUGAUAACUAUAGCUGAAGUUUGUACUGGAGCUGGGAGCUACCUACCUACCUAAAUCCAAAUGAAGGUAGGAUUUCAGAGAACAUGAUAAUAAUGUUACUGAUUCUUGUUCAGCAAUUUUCUGCUUACUGUUUGGUGCUCUGAAAUAAAUUUUGCCGUCUCCAGAUUGAGUACCUAUAUUGUUACAAGGCAGGCGUUCGGAUUUAUCCGUGUGUUGGUUUAAUGGUUUGGGCUUCCUUGUUGAAUUGAUGAGACAUGUUGAAGUUUCAUUCUAAGCUUUUCUGUGCUUCCUACUUACUCUUUGAGAUCCUCCUUUGCAGGGGUUCCGCAAAGUGGAUGCUGACAAGUGGGAGUUUGCCAACGAAGGCUUUCGACAAGGUCAGAGGCACCUUCUCAGGAACAUUCAAAGGCGCAAGCCUCCGCAGAUGAGUACCUAUGUUGUCGAAUCGGUGGACACCGAGGUGGAGAGAUUGAGGAAGGAGGAGGGUAUAAUGAUGCAGGAAGUUGUGCAGCUUCAACGGCAGCAAAGAGGAUAUGUGAAGCAUAUAGAGACUGUUAACAAAAGGAUUCAAGAUGCAGAACAAAGGCAGAAGCAAAUGCUCUCAUUCCUCGCUAAGUUGUUCCACAACCGAGCAUUCCUAGACCGUCUGAAGCAAAGCAAAGAGCCAAGGACGACGAGGAAGAAAUUCAUAAGACACAACCAACCCGAGUCAUCUACUCAGCCACCUGAUUAUGCGUUGGCAGGGAUAGUAGAAGAAGGUUUGCCAUUUGAAAUGGAGACGUUUGUAUCGGAUGACCUCGGAUUGGGGCAAGAAGAAGAAGAACCCAUCAUCCCUCCGCAGCAGAUUCAAGGAAAGGCAACGACUUUGCAAAGUGAGGAACUUUAUUAUAAAGGGAAACAUGUAAUGGGUCCCCAACAGCAAGAAUUUGGUCCAGAAUAUUUGGUCUCCUUCCCUGAGGAUGCAUGGAGUAUGGGAUUUGACACACGUCCUGUUAUAUCUUGUCCUGGUAAUGAGCUGUGGGAUGAUAUGGUCCGGUAUGAUGUGCCGGAGUUUGGAGGAUUUGCAGGUGGGUUCUCUGACAUCUGGGACUUGGGUUCAUCACAAGGAGCAGGAAGUUCAAGUGUUGACAAGCAGCUAGCUGAUGAAAGCCUACUUAAUGAGCCUCCUACUGAUAAUAUUUCUAGUCUGAACAACUUAGAUGCGUAGAAAAUUCAUUAGCAUCAUCAUUUCGGAUGCCGUAUAUAGGUUAUAUAAUUAACAGUCGACGUUCGACGAAUCCCAAGGGUUGAGAUCCAGUAUCUGGAUUUCAAACCUUGGUGCAUAGCGGACGUUCACUGAACAUAUGGUGUUUGAUUGAAUACAGACUUCUAUUCUUCUUAUAUCUGUUGCAUUUCAUCCUUUUUCUUUCUGAGUUCAUUUUCUAUGUGUGCUUGAGCUUCAUUAGGCAGCAAAGGUGAGAUGCAAUCGUGACUUUUUAUCUAUUUUUGAUUGAUGCUAAUUAACGGAUGUUAUUUUGAGUUUGUCAAUCUUGCAGAUGAAGCCAGCAAGAUGGUGGAUCUUGUUACCUUGGGUUUUGCCAAGCGUUCAGCUAAUACUUCCGCAAGAGUAAUCAAGUCUGCAGAUUUCACUUGCUAUGGUCAUUUAUGAAAGACUGGCUCUGUGGACGAUUUAAGAUCGAUGUUGUAUGAAAGUACUAAUGCUUGAUGUUUGUGAAACCGUAAUGAAGAUGCAGAACCGUGAUUGAAUCGUUGCUGGAUAAUUCUCGUUCUCUUGCUUUGUAUGGCAUCUGUAACAACAUUUUUUAUUGGUGAAAAUAGGAGAACUAAAUUGUUGUUCGUCGUUCUAGAAUUUGAAAAAAAUCUCCGUAAAAUGGUUCAAGUGUCUUUAGCUCUUAAAAACGUCUAACGUUUCAAACAAACAUUCCAACCCUAAAGUCGAAUUAACGAUCGUUUCGACAAACAUCUCCUAAAGAUUGAAGUCGAAGAACGAAGAACACUUGUGUUUUGGAGGACAAUGGAGGAGUACAUUGCGGCGAUCUGAUUCGAAGAAGGAUAGUUGAGAUCGAAUAGGCUGUUAAGUAGAAAUAUCUCUUUUAAGGCGACAAAAUUUUGAAUUCUAGUAUUGAUAAUAUCUUCAGCUUUGAUUUUAAAAAAUACCAUAUCUUUUCAUAUUUAAUUGAUAAACCAAAUUGAUUAAAUGCUAAUAUUUUCUUACAAUUGCAUUCUUUCCUUUUGGUUGUUAUCAUCUAAACUCAAGGUUAUAAUUUAAAAUGGCUCUCGGUUGUUGAAUUUGAGGAAAACAAGGAUUAUACAAGUUAAAAAUAGUUGGUAAUAAUAAAUAGCAUCAUAUAUUAUUUCAGUAAAUUAUAUUUAUAAAUACAAUAAAAGCGAUGCCAAUUCGUAACAAAGAAAAUAAGAAUAAGAUAUAUAUUUUCACUUCUCUUUGCCAUUCUUCCUAUUUAUAAAAGACCACUCAUUCACAUCUACAUUGACAUCCCCUCAUAACAGAAUACAUAUCAUGGCCACUCGUAUUUUAUCAAAGUCGCUCCUAUGUAUAAUAGUCUUUAUAGUCAUGAUCCAUCAAACUCAUGGCUCGAGGUUAGACACUUCUGUUAAGAAAACUAAACUUUUGGGGUUAUGUCAAUUUUCUGUUAUGGUUCACAAAUAAAUAAAAGACUGAUUAUUAAAAAUUUAGUUAACUAACAAAAUUCAAAUAUGAUACGGCUAAUGAAAAUAUAAAGCAAUACGGAUCAAAAUCGCUGCUAGUGUACAAUCUCUUUAACAUUUCACAUGACUUCCUAGUCUUCAUUAACUAUGGCAGCAAAGAUGCACUCUCCGACGUCCAAGAUGUGACACAUUUGAUCGAUCACUUCAAGUUCCAUGAUGUGAAUAAGAUCAAUGCCCACUUUGUGGGAAAGUAUGCUCAUGCAGAUUUCAUCAUGGGGCUUGAUGCCAAGGACAUUGUUUAUAGUCAAGUUGUUUCUUUCUUUAAACACCACAAUUGAGGAUUAUUGUAGCAAUGGAAAAUAACUUCCUUAAAGUAGAAGAAUGUCUUGUGUUUCUUAUUGCCGACUUGUAAAAUUCUUCAUGUCGUAAAUGUUCAAUGAGUUUGCAAUGGAACUAAUGAGGAUAGUUAGGUUUUAAGCAUUAUAUUGGAUAACUUUCCAUUACUAUAAUCAGCGGUAGAUUUAAGAUGAUUUAAUGUAUUUGGACAAAUUAUAUAGAAGUUUAAAUAUAUUAGGUCGCAUAUAGAAAACAUAUUAACCAAUUAAAAAUAUAAAAAAAUUAUAUAAUAUCAAACUUCAAAAUUCGAAAAUAAACGAUGCCUAAACCCAGAAAGACCCAUAUAUCCGCCGCCAAGAAUAAUUAAGAGCUUGAAACACUUAAACCAUUCUUGAAACCAUGAGGAGACUGAUACACUUCCCACAAUAGAUUCCCACUCUGAGACGAGAGAAAAUCUUUGACCAAGAUUACAAGAAAUUGGGCUGAAUAAUAAUGGGCUUGAAGAAAAAUUGACUUACCAAUGGGUCCGAUUAAACCGACCUCAAAGAACCUAGAUGGACAAUAGCUUGCAAUCCGAGUAACCCCACUGUUGGGUAUUGGGCCCAUGGAAAUUGACUUACUAAUGGCCCGUUUGAUUUUCCGAUGAAUAUUUCAUUUUUAUUCAUCUGAUGCAGAUUGUCGAAAAUAAAUAACAAGAAUUAUAAUUAAGAAUAUUAAUUAUGGUUAAACAUAUAGAAAGUAUCCCUACCGAUAUGAUUGUGCUAUAUAACUCUUAUAUAAUCACAAUAAUAACAAAUAUAUUCAAAAUAUGUUUAAAUUGAGCUCUUAAUAUAAAAUUGAGUGAUUAGGCAAUUUUAUAAGGCCAACCAAAUAAUAAAAGAGUGCUUACUAAUAAAAAGAGCUUUUCAAAUACGAUCGUACUAUAUAACAUAUGCUCCUCAAGUAUAAUAUGUCUUUCAAACCAUAGAUAUGAAGAAGUUGGACAUCAAAAUACCUUGCCGUAAAAUAAUAAAUUCGAUUUUAAUCAGCCUCCAAAAAAGAAAUUUAUUAUAAUUUUCAGAUUGGACUAGCUGGAGCUAAAUUAUGAGUGGCUAUAUGUAAAUUCUCCACAUAUCCUUUUGCCGGCCCCGUAUUUCGGAGUUUCUUCUUUCUCCGAAGCCCUUUGGUUGCAAAUAUUUAUACUGUGUCGAACCAAUCAACGAGCAGUUCCUCCUCCGCCAUUUUUCUUCUGUUUCGUCUCUCUCAAUCUCUUCUCUCAAUUUCGUAACGCUCGGCUUGUUUCUGUCCGAACGAGCUCCUAUCACUCUUCACAUCUUGUAGAUUGGAUUUAAUCUCUGUAACGUUUCGCUGUUCAAUUACAGUUUCGUAGAAUUCAAUCUGCGUAUGUACAUCAGCAGCGCUUUCUUUAUUUUUGUAUCUUCGAUUUAUCUGUAAAAUUCAGUUCUAUUCUGGGGCGGUUCUUUCUCUUUGGAUUCUGUAGGGUUUGGGUGGUAUACCUUAGCGGUUAUCAGUUCAGUUCGAUGGCGAUUACGGAGUGCUAUGUAAGAUUGAAGAAAAUGGAAUAAGUUUACGGUAGGGUAUUGAUUUUUUUUUAGUUUGGUAAGUGGGAAAUGGAGAGCAUGCGUAGAUCGCUGGACAGAUCAAGGCAACCUGGUUUGAAGAAACCUCGAUUAGCGGAGGACCAACCAAACCCUAGCGGCGGCAGCAAUCCUUUCGUCCGGAGGCCUCCACCCACAGCGGCAGCGGCGGCGGCUGCUUCCUCGAGGUUUAGGGCUGCCGGCGAUAGAGACUCGGGGAGUAAUGAUACGGUGAGGGGCGGUGAUGCGUACCACCCUCAGCCAUUACACCAGAAUCAGGUUCAGGAACUGGUGAAUCAGUACAAGACUGCUCUAGCGGAGCUGACUUUCAACUCCAAGCCAAUUAUUACUAACUUGACUAUAAUUGCUGGGGAGAAUGUCUCAGCAGCGAAGGCCAUUGCUGCAACUGUCUGCAAUCACAUUAUUGAGGUGAAACCUAGUUUCUUUGACUCUGUUUUUGGAUAUUGGCAGCAAUUUGAAUUGUUUUGGUUUGGAAGGCAAAAAAAGCUGGCCAUGUUACAGUUUGUUCAUGAAUGUGUGUGUGUGUAACUUCUGUUUAAUAAGAAAUGGGUCGAGAUAAGUAGCCAUUCACUUCGUCUUCUAGUCGCUUAAUUUGAGUUUGAUGUGACAAAGCUAGUUCGGUUCUUCACAUUGCUUCUUAAGCGGCCAAACUUGCGUAUAUUCAAUGGAUGUGCUCAAUGUUCACGAUCAACAAUAUCUACUACCCAACCCAUCUGAUGUUGCCCGUAUAUGGCUCUCCAUUAAUUGUAUUUCACUGUGCGCUGUAUACAUAUGGAUAUCCAAAGCCGAGCGUUCUUUUUUUUAUGCUUCCAUUUCACUUUCUAUGCAAAGAAAGCUGGUUCGGAGACAGUGAAUGUGACUUUCAUCUACUCUUUUGGGUUGCAAUCUUUCCUCCAAUGUAAAUGGAGUUUUAGUUGCUUCUCUUUGAGAUAGCUCUGCCAAACUUUUGGAUGUACGGAGUGAGAAGAAUUGAACAAGAACGGACAUUGGAUAGAAGAAAAAUGAAAGAUGACAGAAAGAGGAGUGACUACAAUAGAAUUCUAUUGUAUCAAGAAGGAUCAAAUGUUUCAAUUUUCUUUCUGCCACAAUGGGUGGUCUGUUCUGUUAUAUGGAGUUUGGAAAGUUGAUAGGGGAAGUCAUAUGGUAGCUGAAAUGGAACUAAACUUUGUUUACUCUUUUUACCUCUUCUGUUGUUCUCUCUAAAUUUUGUGUGCUUCACUUAUAUUACUGAGGUACUAGACCUGAAUUCCCUUUCUGUGGCAUGUCACAUCUGAUUAGAUAACUAAUUGCAGGUUCCAAGUGAGCAGAAGCUGCCAUCACUUUAUCUAUUAGACAGCAUUGUCAAAAAUAUUGGGAGGGACUAUGCAAAACAUUUUGCGCCGAGAUUACCAGAGGUUAGCGUUUCCGAAGUGGAUCCAGUAGUAUAAAAUGAUUUUUGUUGCUAACUGCUUGAGGUGACAUCUAGCACAUUGAGGACCAAAUUAUCUUAAGAUGAUCUUCAUAUGCUUAAUAUCUGAUUCAUUGAUAUAAACAGCAUAUAUGAUGUAUGCAAAUAUUUAGUCGUCCUUCUGAAGUCAGUAGUUAUUAACAAUGCAUGUUUUGCUAGGGUUCAUUCUGAUUGCCGUUAGUGUGGGAAAAUUGCUAUAUUUUGGUCGUUGUUUCUUAGUUGGUGAAAUUUUGUGCCACAUGCUCCAGGUAUUUGGCAAGGCUUAUAGGCAGGUGGAUCCUCCUAUUCAAUCCAGCAUGCGGCAUUUGUUUGGAACUUGGAAAAACGUCUUUCCUGUCCAGUGCCUUCAGACGAUAGGGGAGGAACUUGGAUUUUCUUCUGCAACAAAUGGAUCAUCUUCAGGAACUGUGACAUCAAGAUCUGAUGCUCAGUCACAACGCCCACAGCAUAGCAUUCAUGUGAAUCCAAAAUACUUGGAAAGGCAACAGCGCCUUCAGCAGUCAGGCAGGGUUAGUUGAAGUCUGAGUCACCUUACUGUCUUGAUUUCUUAAUACAUUGCCGUAGCUAAUCCUUAAUUUCCUUUCUGGCGUCCCUUCUGUUUCUUGAUGGCAAUAGGUCCCACCAUUAGGACCAUUGUUGUUUGAAACAGAAUAUUAUUAUGGAAACCUAGUUACUUAUCUACUGUAUCUUUACUCUUUAGUUCCUCUGAAGUUCUAGUUGAUCUGAAGAUUUGUAUUUAAUGUCCUGAUAAGGCUUAAGCUUAUUAUUACUGAUGUUGCAUCUGCUUUCUGACGAAGGCGCCAACAGUGGACUCACCUGAGGAUAUCAACAGGCCAGAGAGAAUUUCUAGUAUUGUAACUUCACGCGCAUGGACAGAUUCAGCUGUUAAACUACAUGUAGGGAAAACUAGAUAUCCAUCAUAUAGUUUUCUGAGCUGACUUCAUAUCAAGCUCUCCAACUUAUUGUCUGUUUGUUGCUUUACCAGGAUAUCCAGCGUAGCCAAAGGAUAACACCAAGCCCCAUUCAGGAGAAGAACAUUGGUCAAUUGUAUGGAGACUUGGAAUAUGAAACUGAUACUUCAAGGAACUCAGGCUUGGGAUCUGGACUCACAGGUACCAGGGCUACUGAACAAGGACAUGGAAAACCUUGGUAUGGGGAGGCAGAAUUUGUUCCCAGGAAAUUGUCUGAUCCACGACUUGGGUUCAGUAUGAAGCAAGGAGGGGCUGAUCAUUUGAUUCCCAAGGCCACUAAAGUUAUUCACCAACAGCCAACAGAAAGCGUUGCGCGUAGAAGUGAUAAUAACAUUUCUACCGGCUGGAAAAACUCCGAGGAGGAGGCAGAAAUUGUUCCCAGGAAGUUGUCUGAUCCAAGACUUGGGUUCAGUAGGAAGCGUGGAGUGGCUGAUCAUUUGAUUCCCAAGUCCACUAAAGCUGUUCACAUACAGCCAACAGAGAGCAUUGCCCAUAGAAGUGACAAUGACAUUUCCAACAGCUGGAAGAACUCUGAAGAAGAGGAGUUCAUGUGGGAUAUGCACUCCAGAUUGCCUGAUCAAGAUGUUGCAAACCUCUCUGAUGACUCUAGGAAAGAUCCUUGGAUCCCCAGUGAUCCUGAGAAAUUGGUGAGACUGAAGAUUUAUACUACAAAUACAGCUCUUGUACUUUUUGAUUUGUGCAUUUCCCUUUUAAUUUUGUGAAGUUAAUUGCAGGGGUUUGAAAAUCGUGUUAGAAGGCCUCGAAUUGCACAUGAAGUUGGGUCUGGGUUUGAUAGAGAGUCUUCGUCAGAUUCAUUAUCCACCGAACAGAGAGAGCGGCUUAGUUAUGGGAACCGUUUGCCUUCUCCGUGGAGACUGCAAGAUGCAUCCUCAGUGGACGAGCUAUUGUUUUCUGGUUCUACCACUAAACCCAGUUAUGCCGAGGCCAUUAAAGCUAGUAGUGGUGGGUUCCCAUCUGUCACAAAUUCUGUAUCUAGUAUUGCAGCAGGACCUCGUGCAAGCUCCCCUCAUGAUGUAGCGUCAGGUUUUGGAGUCCCUGCUGCGACCUCUAGUCAACAGAGAUUCCCUUCCGUCAGGGCUGCAUCGCCACCCCAUAAUUCGUCACUACACCCAGCCCCAUCAAGUGCCUCACUUCCAUUGCGAUAUCUUCCUAGGCAAUUGCCAAAUGCAGCUGACCAGGACUCCUCACAAGUCUUACCUCAAUCUCAUCAGAAGGUACAUCAAUUCUCAAGAAGUUUGCUUCCUCAAAAUGUUCCUUCAGGCAAUGUGAACAAGUUUCAGUCGGAAGAUUUGCAAUCUUCCUCAGUAGUGGCUUCUGUUCAACAAGAUCGCCAGUAUUCUAUUCCUCGGGAUCAACAACUGGACUUUGGAUUGUCUGAAUCGUUUGGUCCAUGUCAGAAACAAAACCCAAUUCUGGAUUGUAAUGCUGGAGCUCCAUCAACAUCAGGAAGUUCCGGGUUAGACCAAUCCAUUCAACAUACUAGGGGAACUUCAGGCGAAUCAAGUACCAGUAGUUUAUUAGCGGCUGUUAUGAAGAGUGGAAUUUUGUCAAAUAUAACCACUGGUGGUUUGGCUAAAAAGAGUUUGCAGGAUAGUGGCCAAGUUACAUCAAAAUCGAGUACUAAAUCUCUGCCCCCUGCUACCCAAGUCAAAUCUUUUGGUCCUCAGAGUAUUUCCACUUCUUCAAUACGCCCUGUGCUGCGUGAUUCAAAGUCAUAUACUUCAAAAGUAGCUCAGAAGGAAAAGCAGCAGCAAUUGCCACUAGGUUUACCAGCAUCGCUGAAACAGACUUCAAAAACGGCAGAGACAGAGUCAAACCCCAUUUCGAAUCUGUUGAGCUCAUUACUUGUGAAAGGUCUUAUAAAGUCAGAGGUGUCCUCUGCAUCAUCAUGUCAGGUUACCCCGGAACCAGAGAAUCUGACGAUAAGUGCCGUCAAUCCUAAAACAGCUCCUGUUUCUUCUCUGUCAAAGCUUAUUUCCACAGCAGGUGAAAAAUCUCUUGCAAAACCUGAUGCGAAUAGUUCUUCCAAUUUUCCCAAGUCUAACCCAGUGAUUCUGAAGCCUGACACAAAGGAUUGUGUGAAUAUGCCUCAAUCUGUCUCAGUGAAGACUGAAUGUCUUCUUGGAUUGAAGUUUAAGUCCAAUUUAGUUCGAGAAUUUCAUCCAGAUGUCAUUGAUUCCCUUUUUGAUGGCCUUCCUCACCAAUGCAAUGUAUGUGGAUUCCGACUUAAAGACAAAGAGCGGCUUGACAAGCAUUUGCAGUGGCAUAAUGAAAGACAGGCUGAUCUUGAUGUGAGAACAGCUACAAGGAGAUGGUAUGUAAAGACUGAGGAUUGGAUUUCUCCAAAGGUGAACAUUCCUCCUGCAGUAGAUUCGUCUCACGUGAAUGCCCUUCAGAAUGUAACAGAUGGUAACGCCUGCCAGAACGUAAUGGAUCUCGAUGAUGCCAUGACUCCUGCAGACGAAGACCAAUGCGUAUGUGUCUUGUGUGGUGAGCUAUUUGAAGAUUAUUAUAGCCCUGAAAGGAAUAAGUGGAUGUUUAGAGGAGCUGUGCGCAUGAAUAUUGCUUCGGGUUAUGGUAAGCAAGGAAAGAUGGAUGACUCCUCUCUUAACGGUCCUCUAGUGCAUUUGCAAUGUCGCUCAGAAGGUUCAGCCAGUGAGUUGGGUCUUUCAAAUAGUGUAAAAAUGGUAAGUUUAUGAAAUAUCCCAGCAACAUUGUAUUCUUCUUGCUUAGUAUUGUCAGGGGUUGGAUAUGUUUACUGGUUUCGAGAGAUUAGGGUCCCUUGUUGAUGCAUGAAAUUUCAUCUUUUUGCAGGAAGAAUAGCGUCCUUAAUACUCCUGCAAAGGGGCCAAUAUCGAUACAAACUGCGUUACUAGAACGCUUGAGUCGAAGAAAUGAAGGGUUUGCGACAUGCCAAUUUUGCGGAAAAUGGACACUAGUAGUUUAGCCGGGCACCAGAAAGGUGCUGAAAUUGCCUUACUGUCUAGUCUCUCCUGGGUUUCAUUGCUUUGGUUCUUUCUUACAUACAUCCCCAUUAUAGACAAAUAAUAUGAAUGGCAGACAUAGCAGCUCUACGGUCUCGUAAUGUGGUUUAUCUGUUUGAUGUUUUUUCGGAAUGGCUAUCGGGUAUGAAAUGUAUGUCCCGUCCCUCCGAUUCAACUCUCCAAGUUCAUAAGUCCAACUCAUACAACUCAAAGUUUCCUUCCCUGCACCAAGUUUUUAUGUGAGAUAACAAUUUUGUUAUACUAUUACUAUCCAGAAUGAAAAUGAAUCCACAAGGUUGGAUUUUGUUUUGAAUUUCAUCUGCUCUUUCUUUUGAGUUGUUUGUCUUCCUUCUGCCUCCCCAUCUACUUCCUCUGUUCCCAUCAAUUAAAUUAAAUUAGUGCGAACAUUAGUGUUUGUCCAUUUCGUGAGGUGUGUUGGAGUCAAAUUCGAGACUUCUAGGUCGUCAAACACAUAACUCCACUACCAAAAUAUAUUUGGACGUGUGAAGAUGAGUGAUACGCUGUAAUGUCAUCCAUGUGGAUGCCAAUCAUUUUAUCUGAGUAGAAUUGAAUCUACUAAGUAGGAAUGAGAAAUAAUGGUUAGAAGAAGGUAAGUAAUUAAAUAAUGUGUAGCUGAAAUAAACAGCAUCAAGUUGAGAUGGCCGAGUUGGUCUAAGGCGCCAGAUUAAGGUUCUGGUCCGAAAGGGCGUGGGUUCAAAUCCCACUCUCAACAGUCUGAUUUUUUGUUUAGGUUUCUUCGAGUUCCAGUGCUCUCAUUGCGCAUCAUUCCACAGCUGCAUCACUGCUGUAUUGGGACGUUAUUGGUGGUGGAUAUCUUCCUUCAACCUUGAUAUUUUUACCAAAAUGACUGUGGGAGUAGUUAGAAGCUCAAAGUCAACAGUUGAAUCCUGAUCAUUAAUCAAAUAGCCCUACUAGUGGAUUUCACCCCUUUAAUUUCCAUAGUCAUUCACGAGUGGGGUUUGACAUGAUGAUAUGCAGGUUCACUUGGAAUUUAAUAUUAAGUGUGUGUUCUUCCCUCCUCAAUGCAACUUGCAGAUUCAAAAUUAAAAUAAUUGCAGAUGUCAAGGAUGGAUGCACAGCCCCAUAGCCAUUAGUAGUGUUGGUGGGAAAGACAGCUCCAUCGGUUUCCAGAAUUGGCAGAACCAGUUUGACUUUCUCAAUUUGGUUUGAAGAUCAAAAUUUCUUUACACUCAAUGCAUUGACAAAUAAUUUAUUCCAAAUAUAUAUAUAUAUAUUCAGUUAGUCAAAUGGUGGCGUUGCCGCAACUCCAUCCACAUGAAUACAUCACACCCAUAAGUCCAUUUUGUAUCCAUCGCAUCCCUCAUAAAUGCAAUUGCACGAUAAAGUGUUAGAAUAUAGAAUCAAGUCAACCGGUAACACAUUCGGUACAACGAAAUGGUUAAAUACUUUAUGUUAACCUUAUGUAAUUAUGUAUGUCGAUGGUGCAAUCAUUGCUCGCCUCAGUGGUACGACGGGCUUGGUUCUACGAGGUUUUCAAGAGCACAUCCUGCAUGGUAUCAAUACGACCUUGUGCUUCUAUCGUAUCAUCGGGAUUCUCAAAUUUUUAAAGGUGUGUCUACAUCUCCGUUUGCAAGUAGUUUGCCCACAUGUUAACACAAUUGCUCAUUCAAUGGUGAAAAAAAUCCUUAUAUAUCUCUCAAAUCGUAUGAAGACGGAUGUAAAUUAAUCUUUCGAAUUUAUCUUUAUCUAUUGGUGUCUCCUACUACACACGACACGACUCACUAGCUUUUUCAAUUACUCUCCUUUCUUUUUAUAACUCCAACUCACUCUGGCCGGCCAUCACCUUCCUCCUCAAUAAUCGUCUUCUUCCACAAUGAAACCACCUCCCAUUGCUUUAACUCGGUUCCUUUCCCUUCUACUCAUCUUCAUUUCCUCCUCCUCGGCCGCCGCCGACGAUGCCGCACAAACCGAGCUUCUACCGGGGUUCAAAGCAGCUCCAGAGCCUUCCACAUCAACCUUUCAGCCGAUUCUCAAGGACCCAUCUGGCAAUUUCUCACUCGGUUUCCUCCGGCUCGACUCGGACCACCAGUUCGCUUUCGCAGUCGUCCACAUCCCUUCCCUCCAACCAAUCUGGCAGCCCAACCCAACCUGGUCGGACCAGACAACGAGUCAGACUCAACUCUCCUUCAAUGGCACCCUCGUAAUUUCCGACUCUCGCUCCCGCAUUCUCUGGUCCACCACCGGUUCUAAUACUGCAGGCGACAGAGUCGUUUUACUCAAAAACUCCAACCUACAAGUGCUGCGAAACGACGCCGUUGUCUGGCAGAGCUUCGACUACCCAGCAAACACCCUCGUUCAGGGCCAAAAUUUCACUUCUGCCACUUCCUCCGACGACCGUUACGCCCUCCGAUUGGGGUACGAUUUCAUGGCCUUAUACGCAGACUUCUCCGGAAAGGGCGAUCCGGAUCGAAUUUACUGGAAGCACAAAGCCCUCGAGGCGCGAGCCGACGUCGUGCCGGGUCAGGGCCCGAUCCACGCGCGUGUGGACCCGAUCGGGUUCAUCGGGAUGUACCAAUCAAUUAACGGCUCCGUCCCAAUCGACGUCCAGGCUUUCAACAGCUUCCGCCGUCAAGUCAACGGGUUUCACAUCGUCCGUCUGGAAACUGACGGAAACCUGAAGGCUUACAAUUGGGACGGAAGCAACUGGGUCCUCGAUUACCAGGCCAUACCUGACUUCUGCGACCUGCCCCAUCCGUGCGGGUCUUACGGGUUAUGCCGACCCGGUCCCACCUGCUCUUGUCUGGACAACUCAACCGCGUUUGGUUUCCGUCGGGGUCAGUCGGGUCAGUGUUUAUCCGCGGAGUCAGGCGAUUUUUGUGGCGGGCAGAGACCCGGCGAACCCGGUUUCCGGGUGUUGAGGAGUAACAAGGUGGAUUUGCCGUUUAAGGAGCUGAUGAGCUACAAAACGGCGCCGUCGAUGACUGAAUGCGAGGGGUUGUGCGAGAAUAACUGCACGUGUUGGGGAGCGGUGUACAAUAACGCAUCCGGGUUCUGUUACCUGGUGGAUUACCCGAUCCAGACGGUGUUGGGAGUGGGCGACGAGGGCAAAUUAGGCUACUUCAAGGUGAAAAACGAAGGGGCGGCAAAUGACCGGAAGGGAGUUGGGUCGGGAGUGCGGAUCGGGUUGGUGUGCGGGGCGGUUUUGGUUUUGGCGGGAGCGGUUGGGGCGGGGAGUUACAAUGGUUGGAAGAAGUACAAGAGGAGAAGGAAUCGGAUACUGGAAGAGGAUGGAGUGUCGGAGCCCGGCCCGUACAAGGGACUCGGGUCGGAUAGUUUUAGAUCGGUUGAGAUGUCCGAUAGAAGAUGACGUAAGGGAUGACGACAUUUUUAGUUUUUCUUACGGAUGUCUGGCUCUGCUAGUGGCCAGUGGGUGGGUUUGACUCAUUGUUUAUAUAUUAAUAUUUUAUUUACAUGGAAUAUUUUUUUAAAUAAUAAUGUAACAUUUUUUUAUAUAAAAAGAAAGCUAGGAAAAAUACGACAAUGGGGGUCGGUUGAAUGCGAAAACCAACGCCAAAAAAUUUGAACAACUUUGAACUGUGGAUGAAAAGGAUAACCACAUGAAUUCAUCAUCAUGUGAUGCAAUAAUAUAUAUAUGACAAGUAAUUACAGUACUUAUCUCUAUUUCGUAUGGGAAAGUCGGAUCGGUUUUAUAAACAAGCAAAAUGGCAAAUCUUAUGUGGAAAACUAUGGUGGUUUACUUAGUUAAUAAGAUAUGGUACUGCUAUAAUAUGUAUUGUAUUAAAUAUAGUAGUACGUUUCAAAGUUCGGAAAUAAUUAAAAAAUAUUAACAAGUUAUAAUUUUAAAAGUGAAUAUAAAUUAAAAAUUAUUAAAAUAUUUCUUUUAUAUAUUAAACGUAUAAUACGUGUUUAGUACGUAAAGUAUUAAAUAAAUAUAAAAAAAUUAAAUUUUUCUAUGAGAAUGAAAGUUUUACACACAUAUAACAGAGUAUUAAUUCAUUUGUAUAGGAUGAAAAGAGACAAAAUGUUAUAAAAUAUCGCUCCUAUGGGCCGGCAAUACCAGUUUCUUUACUUUGGGUCAGAUACUUAGCGAAAGGAGGCCUAGUUUGGGCUUUCUUUUGGGCUUCACACAACCAAACUCCUACUGAAACAUCUUGGUGACGGGCAUUGGAACUUGCACUUCUUUUUUUUCUUGGAAAUCUCACCUUUCAUUGGUAGUCCCCACAUAAUCAAUCUGGGCGAAAUCGACUUUUUCAAUACAUACAUUGUGUCUGAUCGAAAAUGUAGACUCUACAUGUGAAAUUACAUGAGACGCGAAUUAUCAAAAUGAUAACUCUAAUUCUUUCUCUCCAAACGGAAGUAAUUGUAGCAAAGGGAGACAAAAAAACAAACUACAAAAGCUAAAACAAACAAUCGAAAAGCUAGAUAACUUGGAUAGAGCCAUCCUUAUUCGAGACUACUAAAAGAGGUUAGAAUCUCAACAAUUCCGGCUGACCCGCGGACAUUGAGCUCCGACCUUCCCACUUCUCAUUUGUAACUCUGUAAUAUUUUCAUCUUUUGACUCUCAAAUGGGUAACUUGAAGCAGGGGAUUCUUCAUGAUCAAACUGUCUAGAUCAAAAAAGGAGUAUACCACUAUCAUUGCACAAACCUCUAGCUAGCUAGCAGGGUUAUCCUCCAUUGCUACAUAUUGCAGGCCUCCACUUUGCAGGGCCGUAUUGGAGAAGCAAAAUGAAGUAAGAGUUCAGAGUAAUGAUACUGUCUGCCAAAAUUUUACAUGUUGCUGCUGCACACGCGAUACGUAUUGGCUUCUUCUUGCUUCCGACCCAAUCCAAAUGGAUACGUAUUGUCUCAAGAUUCAAAGCUUAAUUACAUAACUAGUGUUGACUAGUUUUAAAAAAUGGAUCUGGCUGCCUGCAGAAAAUCGAAGGACUCACUCAGCUGUUUCACAUUAAAUGUUUGGAUCGAUCCCCACGUUCUCUCCUGCUGCAGCCAAGCAAUGAACACUUGGAGGCUUGCAGCUGCUACAAAUAUGAACUAAUUCUCAGAGCUGCCUGCCUGGUUACGAACUGCAUUAAUUCUAUGUUCCUUCCUUCCUUCCUUCCUUACUUCUUCCCCGUCUGUUAUUUUUUAUUCUUUACAUCCAAAAUACAAAAGAAAGAAAGGUUUCAGAGUUGUUGCAACUUUCCCCAGUAAUAUUCUUUUCUUUUUCGUGUGUGACCCAUUUGCUCAUGUCAGCCAGAAAAGAAUGAAUACCUUAUUUCCUCUUUGGUUCACAAGAAGAAAAGUAAAGAAUCCCUCCAUAUACCCGCCCACUACUUACUUCUCCUUUGCUGAUAAAAGUGAUUCCCCAGAUUCCAGAAUAGUGUGGGAUGAUCGGUCGCAACACAUGGAGGCUGAAAUCAUAUAUAAGCUUCCAAAAGCAUCGUACACGUGACUCUGUUCUGCAACUGAACAUUCAUUUACCAUGAUAUUACUACUGUUUUCAUCGUCGGUUUGGUUGUUCUUCAGGACAUGGGGGGGGGGGACCAACAGUAUUAUCAAACAGAGAGAGUAGUUAGCUUUGUGUUUCCUUUUCCAGGAAACAGUCCCAAUUUUCCAUUUUAAGCUUAACCACACCAUCCACUUAUCAUUUGUAUAUGUCCUCUUCCUAGCUCCCACCUUUCUUCUGAGUUCUCCACUUUUGUCCCUUCGAGUUGUGAAUCGGUUCAAUUUGAUUUGAAAUCGAGUUAAAAUGUAUACUUUUAGUGUGUAAGUGAACCUAAAAAAUCGCUAGGUAUGAGUAUGGUUAGGGUAUUGAUAUUGAAGUAUACAUAGUGAAUAGAUAUGAAUACUAUAAUCUAUUACGAUAUGUAUGGGUCGUUUGAGUAAAUGAUUUGGACGGUGAUUAAAACCUUAAAAAAGAUUUCGUCCCAAAUCACUCUUUUGGACAUCAUAAAGAGAGAUUUCGAAGUAAAUAUGAGAGAUUUUUUUUUUUUAAUUAAUAUGGUCAUAAGAAAGUUGAAUGUUAUUUCGUAUUUUUUGCUUUUUAUAAUAAUUGAUUCAAAAUUACCAUAAAUCACCAAUCCAAAUCAUUUAUUUCAAAAAUAACAAACUUUAUCCAAAUUUUACAUAUUUUAAUUCUCUAACCGUUUGAAACCUUUUAUAUUCCAAACCUGUUUAAUUUGAAAGUGGGUAAUUUAUAAAGUAUGUGUUUUCAUUUUUCUUAAUAACUUGAAAAAAUGCUAAAAAACAUGUAAAAUAGCAUCUGCUUCGGUACCCUUGUGUGGUUGCACCUAUGCGUCACGUUAUUGAUGUCAACAUCCAUAUAGAGGGCAUUCAUAUCUACAUAAAUAUUGAGUGUCUGAUACUACGAGAUAUGCAUACUUCCUAUGUGACUGACAACGAGACUGUCACACCACUAAUACAAAACAGUAUUAACGCCUAGAUAAUAACGUUUAGAAAAAUACGCGUACCUCAAAGUUCCAAAAUAAUUACGAAUAAGUAGGAUAUGCAUUUCACUAUUCCAAUAAUAAUUAUUCGUUACCCAAAUCAAAUCAUUGUCCAUCCUACUACUUGUCUUUUCGAAUCGAAAUGUAUAAAAGUAUAAAAAUUAUAAUCAGUUGGGUAGUUUAAUACGUUACUCUAUAAAGAAAUAAAUAUUGUGACCUCGUGUGUUUAGUUGAUGAGUCGUUUUCUUUUCUGCUACGGUUGUGGAUAUUCAUACUCCUUCCUAUUUAGAUUUUUCAUACACGUUGGCUCAUCGUUGCAGCGAAUUCGAAACGGUUGACACUAAAUCAGAUUGUAUACAAAUUGAAAAAUAAGAAUUUAGGACAGUGGUAAAUUUCCUUAAUUAGCUAAUUAACUUGUGUCGCUACGAUACUAAUUUUAUGGUUUGAGCCAUUGUAAUUUUCGAAAUGAAAAAUACUACUAAUUAAUUCCAUUAUUAGAUCCGCAAUGAUAAUAACAAAAUGACAAAAAACAAUUAGGGUAUCAAAUCUCAGUCGAUGGAAGAAGACUGACUAAGCCCAGUUGACAGUUUCUUAAUCCGCCAAGUCAAACGCUACUUAACUAAUAACAAUCAGUGGGCCCUCCUCUUUCUUUCGAGUUGAUAAUUCGUUUUUUAUUUCGUACAGUUUGUAAAUAUUGAAUAAAUUAUUUUUAUUCAUCUUAUAUUCCUUCGUAUUCCUAGCCCGAUUAGAAAACAUUAAUGUGAGAUUGAAAUUCGGGCGGUACUAAAGUAUGCUCUCCGCGUUAGAUAAUUAGGGUUCCUCGAGUUUGAAUUUUCUUUUCCUUUUUUUUGUAAAAAGAUUGGUGUAAAGUCUUAAUUAUUAAUACAAAUGGCACGUGGAAGUCUCAGUUAUAUUAACUCUAAUACAAUUAAUAAUUUAAUGAGAGAAAAAAGUGUGGUGCAUUCCAAAAAAAAAGUAAUGUAUGUAUGUAUGAGCAAGGAGGUCAGCAACGUAGUUGCUUUCGAGAUAGGUGUGUCACAAAGACCGUCCAAUCGCGAUCAAGAAGCUAGUGCAGCUCCUUGAUGCAUCCACGGUGACACAAAUCAACAUCAUCCAUGUUAUGGGCAUAUGAGACAACAACAUCCGAAUCAAUUUAUAAGUUUACUUUCCCAUAUAUAUCCCGAAUCCCAUGCGAAGUCUACAACUCGGUUGUUUUCACGGUGAGUGUGUCACAAAAAUCGUCCAAUUGUGGUAAAAACCCGGUGCAGCUCCUUAAUGCAUGCACGGUGACGCAAAUCAACAACAUCCAUGCAUGUUAUGGGCAUAUGCGAGAACACCAGCCGAAUCAACUUGUAAGUUCACUCUUCUCUAUCCCGUGUCCCAUGCAAGACCAAGGCCAUGAAUGGCGGCUCAUAGCUCGUCACUGGUUCAUUGAGUUUGUAAUUAUAUAAUUUUCAAUUUUUAUUAGGAAAUUUUCUUUGAUCAACCAUCAUCUCACGAUGAAAUGCAAUUAAAUUUUUCAAAUUUAUUCCCGUUUUUCGUACAAACAAUCAUACAACAAAUUAACUUGCUGAUGUAUAUUUAACAUAAUAAUUAUGAAGAAAUGUGACAUCUUUUACCAAAAAAUCAUGAAAAAAAAUCUCUAAUCAUCCUGGAUUUUCUUCCAACAGAUCAUAUAUAAUUUGCAGAAAAUACAUACACUAAUUGUACCAAAAUAUUAUAUGAGUCAAAGAGAGAAUCUGCACUGUACUGUGUAACUAUAAGCUUUUAAUGUCAUCUUUUUAAAUGAGGAAAGAAGAAAAAAAAAGAUGUUUAUUAUAUUCCCUACGGAAAAUAACGCAUAGGCUUUAAUGUUUCCUCCCCCUCUGCUUCUCUUCCAAAAACAGAGACAGUCUCACAUGGCAGCGGGGAGAAAUCAUUUUCAGACAGAAACUCUCUUACGACGACGAAGAAGAUGACGAUGAAGACGAAGAUGAAGAAGAACUCGUAGCUAGUAGUAUUAUUACCAAACAACAACUCUACCCUUUCCCCCUUCUUCUUCUUCUUCUUCUUCUUCUUCCUCUGUUUUUUCAACGAUGAGGAGCAUCGCCACCUGUUACAGCGAACACGCCAUCAAAGUCUCCGAUUCCUACUGCUCCGGCCCAUCAACCCGACCCACUACCACCACCAUCCCCCGCAGCCUGAUCAAAUGCCCAGUCCCGUCUUCCAUCACCUCUACCUACAAAAUCGCCAAAGGAAUCUUCGCCGCCGUCAACUGGUCGGACGGCCAUGGCUUCUCCUUCUCAAUAACCGAAAAAACCCCGCCGCCAAAUUCGGAUUCCCCUUCUUCUUUCCAUCGUUUUCGGAAGCUAAAAGGGAGCAAGGAAUUCCAAGCCUGCGGUUUGAACAUCGAGCUGUUCUGGGACCUCUCGUUGGCAUCGUAUUACGAUUCGGGACCGGAGCCGGCCAGCGGGUUCUACAUCGUGGUAUUGGUCGAUUCGCAUCCGGCUUUGUUCCUCGGAGACGUCGACGAGAGUGAGGAGGAAGGCGAAUUGGAAUUCAACGCUGAGAUUAAAAGAGCAGAGUUCUCCCCGAUUUCUCGAAUUGAGAAAUUCGGGUCUCAAUCGGGGUCGGGUUACUCGACGCGGGCGCAGUUCAGCAAGGUGGGCGAAGCGCACGACGUGGCGAUCAGGUUCGGGUCGGGCGAGGACGGAGCCGUGAAGAGAGACCUGGAGGCGGCGGGGGAGAUGAUGUCAGUUUGGAUUGACGGGAGGAAGGCUUUCCAGGUGAAGAGGCUGAAGUGGAAUUUCAGAGGGAAUCAGACGGUUUUCCUGGACGGGAUUUUAGUGGACGUUAUGUGGGAUUUACACAGCUGGUUUUCCGCCAUGGAAACAGGGGAUCAUGAUCGUGGUGGAGGUGUGUUUAUGUUCAGGACUAGAAGCGGAUUCGACAGCAGGCUUUGGCUAGAUGAGAAGAAGACUAAGGAUCCUGAACGGGAUGAGUUUUCUCUCGUCAUUUGUUUGUUAAAGGAUCGCCGUCGAUGAUAAUGGGCGGCUAGAUUCUUCCCUCUUGAUGAUCAAAGUAUUAUUUGUUAAUCCGAUUGAUUGAUGAUUACAGUAGAACAAUUUGUUUGUGUUGACAUGCAAUGCAUUAAGUUUGGCUAUGGGGUUCCUCCAUGAAUUUGUUCUUCUUGGUCGGAGGAACAAAUAGAAGUUAGGAAUGUGUACAAAUUCAAUUAUGGAUUUAUUCUUUUUCUUCGAGAGAUAUCAAGAUAUAUACUCAAGUAAUAUCUAAAGAUCUAUCCAAAUUAUGAGAUCAAUCUAAACAUAGCCAGAGAGAUAUGAAAAGGUCUUUUUCGUCACUAAUGAGUAGCUCAGUUACCUACACCUCACUCGACAUGAGGAAAGCCAAUACUUACGUAUCCUGCUGCAAAAACCCGAACGGAACCGGCUAUGCAUCACUGUCAAUGUAGAACCCUAUCACACUCUCCAUCAAAGGCUCCAAACACACGUGCUGAGAAUAUCCAGGCGCUUGCAAUACCACUAAUAAGCAGCUCAAUUACCUACUCCUCAAUUAAAGACAUGCACCGAAAUCACGAGUAUAUUGAAAGAGGCUUGACAACAAGAUGAAUGGAUGCUACAUUUGACUUAACGGUUGCCACAACACAACUUGGUAGGUUGAAAGAAGGAAUGAAAUAUGGAUGGUUAGCUAUCAAAUAUUAAAAGAGAUGGAUGGAGAUCAGACGUGACUACUGUAAUCGCCAUAAUAAUAGUGUAAUGUGGCAUUGAUGUUUCCCCUGUGUGGAAGUUGAUGGGUUCCAAACCCACAAUUAUCCUAUUUCAUAAUCAUCCAAAGUAAUUAAUUCUGUGUAUUAAUUAAUUACAGAAGAAACUACUUUUUAACCCUUUUACGUACGUUCACUCUAUUAAUUAACUCGGCUUUGAAUUUCAGAAAAUCAUUCCUAAAAGUAUUUAUUUCGAUUUUAGCUUGGAAUUAGCUGCAAGAAAAGAAGAAGAAGAAGAAGAAGAAGAAGAGGCGAUGUGGCCCAAUAUGAAGAUGACUGUCUGCCUUUUGCUUGUGGUUGAAUGGAGGCCCAUAAAAGGUGCGAGGCCCAAUUUCACCAACCCAGCCCAUAAAAGUUGUUGUGUUCUUUUAGUUUACUACAUCAGAUUCAGAUCCACAAUCAGUGGUGGUAGGUACUACGUAGCUGUUGCUAUCAAAAACAAAUAUGGUUACCGUACCGAAUUCCGGCCCUAAUAAUAUUCACGAAUAACAGGGUGGUUCCCUCACAUUUUGUUGAUUAAUAAUCAAUUUCAAACGAAAUGAAACCGAAACUAAAUGGGUUCAUGUAUAAUAAAGACCAUCCAACAUUCAAAUCGAAAUUAGAAGAGGUUGAGAGAUAGAUAACUGGUCAUGAAAAAUUAGGUCAGAUCGAUCAAAACAAUUUCCAGCUGAUUUAUUUGUAGAUGUGAAUAAGUUUAAUCUCCUAAUUUCUAACGUGGAACUCACGAAAUCUACCAAUCAUAACAACAUGCAUGUUGGUGGUCGAUCGUCAGUACCCCUCGUCUUAAAACUUGAUAGCACAUCUCGAAUUUAGUUGUAAAAUUAUAUGAUGAGGUCCAAACUGCUAAGUAUGUAAUUAAACAAUAAUUAUACUUUAUUAGUAUACUUCAUCUGGAACGCAACGUCAUAUGGCACGCAUCCGGCCGUCUAAAUAACGGUUUGUUUGACUAAUAAUAUUUUUCUGGAAAUGAAAACAUAGCCGGUGAUAAUUGAAAUGGCGUGAAGUUGGGUGUUUUUGUCCACAUCGCAUAAACAUAAUUCAGUAGUCAGGUACACGUAGUUAUCAACCAAAACAAAGGGCAACCGAAAAGAAUGACAGUUUUUUUCUUCCAAUUAAAGAUAGAUAUAACGAACUUAUCGAGAUAAAAGAAAAAAAAUAGUAUAUUAAUGUUCAUCUAUAUGUAUAAUAUGUUGAAUUCGAAUCAAUAAAUUUUAAAAUUACCGACACACAACACAACUACUUACGCUACUCGACGAAAACCAAAAAAAAGACAGUGUCAAUAAACAAAACCCACUUUCUCGUUGCCAUUCUUUAUAUACGUAUUUGCGUGCUUUUUAGUUCUCUCCCGACGACUUCAAUCACGGGCUCCUUGUCCUUAACCUUUCUGCUUUGCCCAACGUUUUCACAGCAGCACUGGUUUUCGUUUUCGUUGGAACCAAAAAAACGAACGAGCCCCCCACCGGUUUCACUUUCCAGUUUUACCGCCCACUUUAUAACUGGUUAUUAAACAUAAUUGAUUUCUAUCCCAUCUUCCAAUCAUAUUAUAAUAAGUAUUUAGGCUAUGGAUUUGAUUCCUAAGUGUGAUUUUUGGGUGGUCUUUUAUUAUUUUGAGCCGGAAGAUUGAUUAGUUGGGUUGAGAAGUAUUGAGUUCGACUCAAUAGACCUAAUUAAUUGGAUGACGGUCGGAUAAUAAGGGUUGAUAUACUUUUAGUAUCGACGGUCUCUGCAUUCUACCUGAAGAAAUAAUAGCACGGUUACAGGAGGUAUUAUUCAUAAUGAUCGGUGUGCUUUUGUCAUAGCCUUUGCCAUCAACUUUAUUACGCGGGCUAAAAUGCGAGGGAUUGUUGAGGGACUGGAGUUGGCAUAGUCGCUCGGGAUUUAACGGGUUCGUGUACAAUCCGACUCGAAUGCACUAUUCUGUCACAAGUCUCAUAUCUCAAUUACCAACAUGAUAUACUUGUUAUGUAGUUUCAGGAACUCUACAAUCGAUAAUGAGACGUCGACAUUUUUCAUAUUUACAAUCACUUUUUUUAUAUAGUUCUCAUAUUUUUUAUUAGUCAAAUUAAAGUUUGUCUUACGGACCGAACUAUAACGCUAUUGAAAUUUUUUUCCCACGACUUGUUUCAAAUAUUUUUAAUAAUAUUUAUAGUCGCUUAUCUUUCUAGAUAACCAUUUUUUAUUUUUCUUACCACAUAGAAAUCAAGAAUAUUAGAGGAGGGUAAACGGUAAAUCGUAAAUAUAGCGGCGUGUUCUCCAAGUGCACCGCUGGAAAAAGAGGACCUAAAACAGCGACAAGUUCGAGGCCCAAUCCCACCUGCCAUUUUCUGAUAAUCCCCAUCUAAUAUAUAAACCCUCCACCCCACAGCCUUCUCCCCCACAUCUCGUCUUUUCUACAACUUUCAACUCCUAAUCUUCCUCUCAGUCUCCCAACAACACCUUCGCCAUGUCUUGCUACAAGGGCAAAUACGCCGGUAACUCCGCCCUUCUUCUUCGCUCUCUCUUUUCUCCGAUUCGUUUGCUAGAUCUGCUGUAUCUAUUUGCUUCUUUUGAUAUUGUUUGAUUUCGGAUCAGUUGAUUAUUCUGCUUGAUUAAUAUGCUUGUGUUAGCUGCAGAGUCGUUGUUUUUAUUAUUUUUGCAGUGAGUAAGAUGCACUUCUCGAUUGUUGGUUGAUUCGUUUCUUCUUGAUUUGUUAUCAACUUGUUUGCUGCUCCGUAGAUCUGCGUAGCUAGGUGUUCCCUGCAGUGGAAAUACUCAGAUUCGUCGAAUCUGUAGCGAUGAGAAAAUAGAUCUCAGAUCUCUGACUUGUGCUAUUGUUUCUUCAAUUUUAUAUAUAUUAAUCUCGGUCUGAAUCACCACCAGCUGAUGUGUUUGAUUGGUCUCCUUGUGUGGCUCUAUUCUCUUUGGCUUCUGCUAUAUUUGAUCUGAUGAUUUGACUUGUUUGCUGAGAUAUCGGUGAUCGAACUGUUAAAUAAAAUAGUUAGCUGUUGUAUUUGAACUGAUUUCCUGUGGAUCUUACUUGAUUUAUUUUAUUUGAACUCUGUAGAUGAGCUUGCUGCUAAUGCUGCCUACAUUGGCACACCCGGAAAGGGAAUUCUGGCUGCUGAUGAGUCCACUGGGACCAUUGGAAAGCGUCUUGCCAGCAUUAACGUUGAGAAUGUCGAGGAGAACCGACGUGGUCUUCGUGAGCUCCUCUUCACCACCCCUGGUGCCCUCCAGUACCUCAGUGGAGUGAUCCUCUUUGAGGAAACCCUUUACCAGAAGACCAAGUCAGGUAACCGCCGGUUUUGAACUAAAUUUAGCUUGAUAUCUGUUAAUGGUUCUAUGCCUAAUAUGUUGAAUUGCUUUUUUGUGCUUGAUCUGUCAUCUCACAGGAAAGCCCUUCGUGGAUCUGUUGAAGGAGAACGGUGUGCUCCCUGGUAUCAAGGUCGACAAGGGUACUGUUGAACUUGCUGGAACCAACGGCGAGACCACCACUCAGGGUCUUGACGGACUCGGUGCUCGUUGUGCCAAGUACUACGAGGCUGGUGCCAGGUUCGCCAAGUGGCGUGCCGUGUUGAAGAUUGGCGCUAACGAGCCAUCUCAGUUGGCCAUCAACGAGAACGCCAAUGGUCUCGCUAGGUAUGCCAUCAUCUGCCAAGAGAACGGCCUAGUCCCAAUUGUCGAGCCAGAGAUCUUGGUCGAUGGUCCUCACGACAUUGAGAAGUGUGCCGAUGUCACCGAGCGCGUCCUUGCUGCUUGCUACAAGGCCCUCAACGACCACAAGGUCUUCCUUGAGGGAACUCUCUUGAAGCCCAACAUGGUGACCCCUGGAUCCGACGCAAAAAAGGUAUCCCCCGAGGUGAUUGCUGAGUACACCGUCCGCGCCCUCCAGCGUACCAUGCCACCUGCAGUCCCUGCCGUUGUGUUCUUGUCCGGUGGACAGAGUGAAGAGCAGGCUACCAUCAACCUCAACGCCAUGAACAAGCUCCAGGGGAAGAAGCCAUGGAGUUUGUCCUUCUCGUUCGGACGUGCCCUUCAGCAGAGCACCCUCAAGGCAUGGGCUGGAAAGGAGGAGAACAUCGAGAAGGCUCAGAAUGCUUUCCUCGCCAGAGCUAAGGCCAACUCUGAGGCCACACUUGGCAAGUACCAGGGCGAUGCCACCCUUGGUGAAGGCGCUUCCGAGAGCCUCCACGUCAAGGACUACAAGUACUGAAGAGGAGUUGCAGAGUGUUUCAUAAGAGUCGUUUGGUUCCCCUUUUUUUUCUUACUGUCAUAGGAUCGAAAGGAAGAGAGAAUAAUGAGGGCUUUUGUUGUUGAGUGGGGGAUAUUUGACUUGUUUAUCAUUUUCGGCUAAAGUGGCUUUUGGUUAUAUUUGUAGCGUAUUUGAUAAUUUCAGGGUUUGUUUAAUUGUUCAUCUUUUUGUGUCGAUCAUGACUUGUAGAGUAUGAUGGUUCUUCGAAAUUAUUGCCUUUCCAC